rnacentral:lncRNA from 1 species
CCGCCCCGGUCACGCACCCACCUCCCAACGCCACCACUCCCGGCUGCUGAUACACAAACGGAAACCGACCCACCAGUCCGUUUCCACUGCCAAAACAACCCACGUGGCGCGUGACCUCACGCUCUACGUUGGGCUCCAUCGGCGGAGGGCUGGACGAGGACUCCACGGUACUGCUCUGGCUCGGGCUCUGCUGGUUGUUGCUAUUCUUGUUGAUGGCCACGAUUUCGCUGGGUAAAGGGAAGUUCGUUUUGGCCUUCGAGCCGCGAAACUCACGCGCCGCGGCGUCGUAAGCCCUGGCGGCUUCCUCAGCGGUAUCGAAGGUGCCAAGCCACACGCGGCUCUUCUUCCCGGGGUCUCUUAUCUCGGCAGCGUAUCGGCCCCAAGGCCUCUUUCUAACUCCUCUGUAAUGCACCUCUUUCUUAUUGUUGCUCCUGUUGUCAAUGUUUUUCCUGUUGCCACUAAUUGUUCUCUCUUUUGGUGCCAUUGUUUUUUUUUUUCUUUCUGUUUUUCCCUUUGAAAGUGUGUGCUGUUUUUGUUUUGGAGAGGAAAGGGGGGGCAAAUUGUGGGAUUUUAUAAAGGAAGUUGGGGAAAAAGAAAGGGGCAAUGUGGUUGUGGUUGUGGGGGAGUGCGCGGUCAAUGCGGGAUUUGACUGAGGCGCCGCCCAAGCGAGUGAGAGAGAGGGGACAAUAUGAUAACGUUGUUUGUCUUGUGAUACGUGGCACGCGGGAUUAUCGAGACAAGCGGCGGGCUUGAGGUACUCUUUCAUCCGUGCCGGCAUUUGCCUAACGGUGUCGUUAUUGCCUCCCUUGACUUUUUGCGUGAUUUUUAUAUACAUGUACACACGCUCUCUCUCAAACGCGCAAACAUUAAACACCACGCUCCUAUCCUAUGCUUGCAUUUAUUUUAUUUUAUUUAUAAACAUCCCCUUAAAAUAUAUAUAUUUGCGUGUUUGUGAAUGUAUAAUAUUAAUUAUUAAUUAUCAGCUAUAUGUCAAGAAAUGUUUUGAAAUGACUUUUAGAUUUGCUAGAGCUUUUCUUUGAAGUUGCAUAUUGUAUUCAUGGAUUGCCUAUUAAAACCCUCCCAAUGCAGAAAUUUAUUCUUUUAGGAUAUAAAUUAAACCUUGAUUCUUUAAUUAAAAUCACUUAUUACAUAAUUAAGCAAAACAUUUUACUUGCAUUUUUUGUUAUUUAUCUAUAAAUAUUAUCCUUUUUUUUUUUAAUAGAUGAGCAUACGAGACGUGAUUUAAUCAGAUUUUUAUAAGGUGCCGAUAUUAUUAUACUAUAAUUAAUGAAUACCAUCAAAAUAUUAAAUUGAUUUUCCACCUCAGUAAAAGACAGGAUUAUAGAUCAUAGAAAGUUUAAUGCACGCCACAGUUAAUGGCGUGAGAAAGUAAUAAAGGUUUUGAGUGGAUUAGCUGACGAUUAAUUCUUAACAUCUGUCAGUGUUGUCAGCCAUCGCCGUCUCUCUCUGAAUUAAAUUUAAACCUAUGGAAUCGCUCUUUUAGACCGACAGCUAAAAGAAGUGAUCAUAACAACUACUUAAAAUGCGCCACGCGUCCCUUUUUAUGCUCGACGCGUCCUUAACGCCAGCUCCCCCGUCAAUUGUUUCGGUGUUAUCGCCUAAUUGCGACUGUCUUUGUCCAGUGACAGAUUUUCUUUGAGCGCGUGGAUUUGAAAUGACUCUUACUACCGUGUUGAUGCGCGUGCAGUGUAGUGAACGUAGUACUCUCUUUGCGAUUGGGGAUUGAUCAAAACGAGAUCCCGGAGCACGUGAGCCGUGCCAAACAAAAUAGUUAGUUAAUAUAUGAAUUUUUUUUUUCCGUAUAGAUAAUUAAGAUAUAUAAAUUCAGCACAAAUUGAUGAUGAAUCGAGAUUCUAAGCCAUUAAACAGCUAAGAUACCGCACUUUACUGACACGUGUUAUGCGUCGGCUGCUUAAAGUUGUUGAACAGUGUUAGCUAAUAAGAGUAGAGAUGGCAAUGGGUGCAACAGUAAUCGGCACGAUACGAAUAUAUUUCGACAGGGCACGUGGCACGAUAUGAUAUAUAUGUGGGCUGCACUGAGUCAGAUUUAGAAUUUUAGGCACGCCGGCCUUAAAAGUAAGGCACAAUUAGAGAUGAGUUAAGCAUAGCACGAUAAAAAAGGUCCGUAAUAAACACGUUUUAUGUUUAAUGAAGGUAAAUUUAAAAUUUUAUAAUUUUAUAAAUAGCUUGAAAUUAAAUUUUUUAAAUUUAUUUAAUUCUUAUCUUCUUCCCGGGGUCUCUUAUCUCGGCAGCGUAUCGGCCCCAAGGCCUCUUUCUAACUCCUCUGUAAUGCACCUCUUUCUUAUUGUUGCUCCUGUUGUCAAUGUUUUUCCUGUUGCCACUAAUUGUUCUCUCUUUUGGUGCCAUUGUUUUUUUUUUUCUUUCUGUUUUUCCCUUUGAAAGUGUGUGCUGUUUUUGUUUUGGAGAGGAAAGGGGGGGCAAAUUGUGGGAUUUUAUAAAGGAAGUUGGGGAAAAAGAAAGGGGCAAUGUGGUUGUGGUUGUGGGGGAGUGCGCGGUCAAUGCGGGAUUUGACUGAGGCGCCGCCCAAGCGAGUGAGAGAGAGGGGACAAUAUGAUAACGUUGUUUGUCUUGUGAUACGUGGCACGCGGGAUUAUCGAGACAAGCGGCGGGCUUGAGGUACUCUUUCAUCCGUGCCGGCAUUUGCCUAACGGUGUCGUUAUUGCCUCCCUUGACUUUUUGCGUGAUUUUUAUAUACAUGUACACACGCUCUCUCUCAAACGCGCAAACAUUAAACACCACGCUCCUAUCCUAUGCUUGCAUUUAUUUUAUUUUAUUUAUAAACAUCCCCUUAAAAUAUAUAUAUUUGCGUGUUUGUGAAUGUAUAAUAUUAAUUAUUAAUUAUCAGCUAUAUGUCAAGAAAUGUUUUGAAAUGACUUUUAGAUUUGCUAGAGCUUUUCUUUGAAGUUGCAUAUUGUAUUCAUGGAUUGCCUAUUAAAACCCUCCCAAUGCAGAAAUUUAUUCUUUUAGGAUAUAAAUUAAACCUUGAUUCUUUAAUUAAAAUCACUUAUUACAUAAUUAAGCAAAACAUUUUACUUGCAUUUUUUGUUAUUUAUCUAUAAAUAUUAUCCUUUUUUUUUUUAAUAGAUGAGCAUACGAGACGUGAUUUAAUCAGAUUUUUAUAAGGUGCCGAUAUUAUUAUACUAUAAUUAAUGAAUACCAUCAAAAUAUUAAAUUGAUUUUCCACCUCAGUAAAAGACAGGAUUAUAGAUCAUAGAAAGUUUAAUGCACGCCACAGUUAAUGGCGUGAGAAAGUAAUAAAGGUUUUGAGUGGAUUAGCUGACGAUUAAUUCUUAACAUCUGUCAGUGUUGUCAGCCAUCGCCGUCUCUCUCUGAAUUAAAUUUAAACCUAUGGAAUCGCUCUUUUAGACCGACAGCUAAAAGAAGUGAUCAUAACAACUACUUAAAAUGCGCCACGCGUCCCUUUUUAUGCUCGACGCGUCCUUAACGCCAGCUCCCCCGUCAAUUGUUUCGGUGUUAUCGCCUAAUUGCGACUGUCUUUGUCCAGUGACAGAUUUUCUUUGAGCGCGUGGAUUUGAAAUGACUCUUACUACCGUGUUGAUGCGCGUGCAGUGUAGUGAACGUAGUACUCUCUUUGCGAUUGGGGAUUGAUCAAAACGAGAUCCCGGAGCACGUGAGCCGUGCCAAACAAAAUAGUUAGUUAAUAUAUGAAUUUUUUUUUUCCGUAUAGAUAAUUAAGAUAUAUAAAUUCAGCACAAAUUGAUGAUGAAUCGAGAUUCUAAGCCAUUAAACAGCUAAGAUACCGCACUUUACUGACACGUGUUAUGCGUCGGCUGCUUAAAGUUGUUGAACAGUGUUAGCUAAUAAGAGUAGAGAUGGCAAUGGGUGCAACAGUAAUCGGCACGAUACGAAUAUAUUUCGACAGGGCACGUGGCACGAUAUGAUAUAUAUGUGGGCUGCACUGAGUCAGAUUUAGAAUUUUAGGCACGCCGGCCUUAAAAGUAAGGCACAAUUAGAGAUGAGUUAAGCAUAGCACGAUAAAAAAGGUCCGUAAUAAACACGUUUUAUGUUUAAUGAAGGUAAAUUUAAAAUUUUAUAAUUUUAUAAAUAGCUUGAAAUUAAAUUUUUUAAAUUUAUUUAAUUCUUAGUUAAAAAACUAUAAUUGAUUUAUAUUUAUAAUUUAUUAAAUAAAUAUUUUAUGUCAUGAUUUUAAGGAAUAAAAUUAUAAAUAUUACAAUUUUAUAAAUAUGCAUUAAUAUUAUUGUGAAUUAUGAUCUAUGACUCUAUGUAAGUCCAAGUUAUGUAUCAAAAAAAAAAUCCAAGUUAACAAUUAAGUUAACCCUUAAGAAAAAUUUAUUAAUAUUAUUGUUGUUAAGUAUUAAAAAAAUUCUAAUACUAUAAGGUCAAACUUAGUAAGUAAUAUUACGUUCUCUUACUAUUAUUAUUUUAUUAUCAUUGAAUGUGGAUUUGAAUUUUAAAUUUUUGAUUCUAUUAAAUUUGAAUAAAGGGAUAAACCUAAAAAAAGUACAUAAACUAGAAAAAAAGAAGACCAAUAGCUUGGCAUGUGCUCUUAAUUUUUUUUUUUAUAAAAAAAACUUAUCGGGUUUUUUUUUCUUAGGCACGACACGAGUGGACACGACAUGUAUUCGGGCCAGGCCUUAGUAAAAAAAAAAUUAGGCACGGCACGACACGAAACACAUAGUGGGCACGGCACGGGCAUGAGCACGCAUGGGCCUUACUUUGUCAGCCCGACCCAUUGACCAUCUCUAAAUCAGGGAAAUGAUGGGGUAUUAAAAUCUUAUUUUAAAUAAUAUGGCAUGUGAAAUGCCAUUAAUUAACUGGUUAGUGAUAUUUUAUAAAUUUUAAGUGAAUUAUUUAUAUUAUUUUAUUAAUUAAUGAAUGAAUUACAUAUCAUUGGAAUAAAAUUUAAGAUGUAAUAAUAAAUAUCGAUGGUAAUUUUAGAAUAAAAUUUUGAGACAUAAAACCACCGCUCUCACUGACCUUAAAGUCUUCAGUUUUGCUUAUCUGACUGACUUUCUACAGUCGUCAUUGCGGGGAUAUAAUUUCAAGUUCUAAUCGAUUGUAGUAAGUAGCCAUCGCCCUCCAGUAGUAAAGAGAGGGAGCUUCUCUCUCUGGCAAUGUUAUUUUAUUCUCUGUCCAUAGCAUUUUUUUAAUGUAAUUUUCUUUGUUUUUUUUUUCUCUUUUUUCAUUUUCAUUGCAUUAUCCUUUUAUAUUUUUAUAGUUGGAUGUUGCAUAUCUACCAAUUUUGAGGUUCUUUCGAUGCCAGAGGUGGUGUUGUUUCAGCUUCUUUAUCAAAAUUGUGUCAAUGUUCAUAUCAGGAUGACAUGCCUGUAUUUGAGUCAUUGAGGGGUUCUAAUAGUUGUUGCAUUGAGAACUUGGUGGUUGGGAUGAGCAAACAAUGGCAUAGGACAAGGGUUUAUCAAGAGGCCUUUGAGGAUUACUCUAAGAGAGGCAAUUUUAUUUGUUGUUUGUAUUUUGUUUUAAUAUUAUGGGACCAUUUCAAACUAUUUUUGAAUGCAUGGUGGUCUUGAAGUCAACUUACUCGUUCAUUCUCCUCAUGUUUCUAUGAUUCUUUAUUAUUGAUAGGGAUUAUCUCUACGUUCCCACCCUGUUGACUUCGUGUCCUUGACCAAUUCAUGGCCUUGGCCGAGAGUUCCUAAUUUGCCACCUCAACGAAUCCUCAAUUCGUACCUAAUAAUCUUCGAUCCUACCUUUAAAGGAUCCGAUUUUUCUCUUGGAGAUCUUGUCCCCUCGAAGUGGUGCAAGUGAUUACUUUCCAUAUCAACAGGUUAUAAUGUCCAACAACAACAAAACCAAGCCUAGGAAAACUCUUCUUUCAUUCUUUACUAAAGUAGAUGAUGGUAAAUCAUCAAAUGAGAGAAGUUAUAUGUACAACAUUGAUGCCUCAAGUUCUCCACCCAAGUAUCAAAGAGUCGAAUUUGAGAAAGUUGAUACUUCAUCUACUAUUGAGACCUUUAUUUAGAAUGUAAUCCCCAAUUAUAUUUUUUAAUGAUUACUUUUUCUAUUAACAAACAUGAAGAUGUGCAGAUUGUGUAUUUAAUUAUGAGACCAUUUCAACCUAAGCUACAAAACUAUCCAUUCACUAAACAUGGCAUACAAAAUCAUUGAUUUUGCUCAUCGACCACAACUCAUAUCAAUUACGAUAUCUAAUGAAGUGCAUGAGGUACAACUCUUUUUUUUCUAAGUUGAGUUCUAUUUUUAACAUUGCUAGUGCUUCUUUCAAACUUUAUUUUGAGUUCAAAUCUAUCAAAGAAAAAGAAAUUAUAGAUUUGAUAGCUUUAGAAUAGCUUAAGAGUAGUGUCGGCUGAUCAAGUUAGAACUUUACAAAGGGCCAAAGAUACUUGUUUGACCUGACAUUUUAUUUCAGUUAAUACGUUUAUUGAGAAGUUUGGUGCAACUUUUGAAGUUUUAGGAAAGAUGAUUAACAAUGGAUCUAGUCAAUAUAUGCGUGGAGAAGCUAAAUGUCCAUACAAGGAGCUGAUCAAUCCUUUGAGUUUGUGUUCAUUUAGCUUUUGUUGAAUAAAUUCCUUGGAAUUUUUGACAUAAUUUGUCGAUCAUUACAAACAAAAUCAUUGGACAUCAUGAAUGCUUUGAAUUGUCUCAAGUAUAAAAAGACUUUUGUAAGAGUUUUGAGAGAGUAGAUGAAUUAAUUUUAUUAGAAGUGUGGUAUCCUUCCGCGAAAAGUGAAAAAUAUGAUGUUAUUAUGCUUGAUAUAAGUGUUUGUUAUUCAGAAGGGCGCUCCUGUUAACAAAAAGAAUAUGUUACAGUUGAACAUCAUUGUCACCUUGAUAAAUUUAACGCUAUAGUAAAUUUUCAAUUGAUGGAGUUAAAUUGUAGAUUCUUUGAUCAAACUAUGAACUCCUUACUUAGAACUGGACUUUGGUUUCAAUUGAUGAGCGCAAAUAAUUUGAUAUGGACGAUAUUUGCUCUCUUGCUAACAAAUUUUAUCCUCAUGAUUAAUUUAUUCCAAAUGAAGUGCUUGCUUUGAGAAGAGAAUUAGAACAUUAUAAAAUUGUUGUGCUUUCUCAUCCUCGGUUUCAAAUCAUUACUUUCCUUUCUUAGCUAUGUUGAUGAUUAGUUGAAGCAAAAAGGUCACAACAUCAUUUUUUGAUUGACAGAUUAAUUCAUCUAGUGUUGACUUUUACUGUUUCCACAACCGCAAUAGAGUAUGCAAUUUCAACAAUGGAAUUUCUCAAGAUAUUAUUUUUUAGCAAGAUGGAAAAUGAGUUUUCCCCCCCGAUUGUAUAGUUAUCUAUGUUGAAAAAUAAAUUAUUGAUUUUAUUGACUCAAAUUCUAUAAUUGAUGAUUUUUAUAAUUCGAAGCAUCAAAAAGUACAACUUGAGUAAUGGUUUUGUAUUUGAAUUAUAUUUUUAUUUUAUACUCCUUUCUUUUAUAGUUAUUUUUGUUUACAAUAUGAAUUUUAGGGAUAAGACUCCUAAUAUUCUCUCCUUAAUAGGUGUAUUUUGUCAGUUAUGUAUGAAAUUUCAUGUUCACUUAGUAUAAAUUUAUUGUUUUUUUAAUUUUACCCCAGGGUACUAUGAAGGCUUGUAAUAAGGAGCCAUAAAAGUCGGAUGUUGCCGUGAAACCAAAGUUAAUGGGUAAAGUUCAAAAGAUAAUAAUUUUGUUAAAAAUAGUAAGAGUCACAAGGUUUCUCAUCAAUACAUCAAAUCCCUUGGACACAGUUCAAGUGUUUAAGAGUUGUGGCUUAAUGAAAGCUUAAAUUAGUAACUACUGCUUCCAAACAAUAGAACCAUGUUUUAGAAUUUGAUCCAUAUUUUAUAUUACCAAUACUUAAUAAAUUAACCUAGUUCAAUUUGACAAAAUUACCACAGGGAGAAUGCUCCUGAACGAAGCAUAAAUCUCUUCUUUGUUCCAAGAUCCAAACUAAUUGCUGAUGCUUGGGUAUAUGAACCAAAAUAAUGGCUUACUAAAUCCAAUAUUUAUAUUGUUGAAGUCAACAAAUUAUUGGUGUAAAUUUGUUGAAGUCAACAAAUUGUUGAUUUUGUAAAGCCAAAAAGAAAGAAUGGGGGAUGGAUUUGAAAAAUAAUAAUAAUUAAAAAUUAUAUUUUUAAUUAUUUUAUUCUUAGCAUAGUAAUUCAUUUCUCCUAUAAAUAGCUAAGGAUUUCAUUCAUUUGAAAUCAUCCCAAAUUUAUUAAGCUUAUAAGUUUCUAAGCUUUUGAGAGAAGUGAGAGAAGUGUGUCUGGGGAAUUUAUCUUUUCUGCAGAGUGUGAGAGUACUGGGUAUAUUUGGGUUUCUGGGAAGUGAGAUUAGUUACUCAAAUAUUUGUACUCUAUUAAUUGUUAAAUAAACAAUUAUUCUUUCUUGCCUCCGUGGAUGUAGGUUUAAUUACCGAACCACGUAAUUCUUGUGUCCUUUAUUUUUCUAUAAUUAUUUGGUGCGUUUGAUUCCGCAUUCCGCGCACAAGUGGUAUCAGAGCCGACGGUUCAUACUUGGGGGGAUAUGGCACUGUUCACGUAUACGGUACUAUUCCCGUAUACGGUACUCUUCACAUACGGUACUGUUCACGAAUACGGUGGAGACGACCAUUUGUACUUGGGAGACAGUCUAUUGUAAGUAAUGUGUAUUUUUGCAUGUCUAGGAAAGUUUUGUCAACAAAGGCAAUAAGAGUCUAAGGAUUUUGGUUUUUAAUUGGGACCGAGUUCCCGUCCAGUUUCCUGGGAACUUUCUUGGUGCAUUUAUUCACCCGAAAUUAACAUCAUAGAGACUGUUUUUCAAGUGGAAAUAGUUCAUUGAAAAAAUGGUAGAAGGUGAAACUUCCAGAAUUGGAGAGAGAUCUAUCGAGACUAUUUCAGGAGACACUUCAGGUGGGAGGCGAGAUUUGUCAAAUCGCUAUUCAGCAUAUGUUAUAGGAGGCCAGAAGAUCGAUGUUGAAAAGUUUGAUGGGAAAAUCAACUUCGGCAUGUGGAGGCGCGAAGUUAUGGAUGCCCUUAUUCAAAUCGAUCUCGAUGUUGUUCUGAAAAAUAAAAGACACUUGUAUGAUGAAGAAAAUUGGGAUUGUAUGAAUGAAAAAGCCUGUGGUUAGAUCAGAUCUUGUUUGACCAAGGAGGUGAAAUACUUGGUGAAAGAUGAGGAGUGUGCGGUGACUUUGUGGUGUACAUUGGAGGAGAAGUACUUGGUGAAAAGUCCUGAAAAUCGCCUUCAUGCAAUGAGCCAAAUAUAUGGUUUUCGAAUGAAGCCUGAGGUGUUAAUGCACGCUCAUGUUUCAAGAUUUGAAAAGUUACUUGCUGAUUUGAAGAAUCUCGAUGAAGAUAUUAAGGAUGAAGUCAAUGCUAUGAUUCUGUUACACUCACUACCAGAUGAAUAUAGCCAUUUUGUGACUACUUUGAUAUAUGGGAAGAGUGUGAUCGUUUUUAAAGAUGUUUGAACAACAUUGACUAGCUUAGAGAUUCGGAAUAAUGAUAAAAAUUCUUCGUAACAGUAUUCUAUCGCUAAUGAACCAAGAUUCACUAAACUGUAGCCCGUGGAAAUACUCACUAUAAACUAACUUAGAUGCCUUAGAUUCACUAACUUUCCAAAUCCUUGAGGUAAUAUCUUCCCAAAACAGAACAAUUUUCCAUCUCAAAAUUUUGCAAAUUAAAUCACUCACAGCACGUUUCAGGUAAUUCUUCUGUGUUUAGUUGGUUCUAAUUAAAGGCAUAAUUUAAAUUUUUUUUUAAAAAAAGCCAAACCAAUUUAAGGAAUCUCAAAUUUAUUGAAUUUCUAUCUCCUUUGGAAUUUCAUGAAUCAAUCUCGUAGCCAAACCAUCAUCGCCAACUAAAGCCAACAACAAUUUAAUUAAUUCAUCUUCCUCUAUAUUGUAGUCUUUUGGAAAGACAUCACAAUACGAGAAACAUUGUUUUAUUGCGGGUGGCAAAUCAUUAUAACUCAAUAAAACUGGAGCUAAAACACCUCUUUCAAACUCUUCUAAUUGCCACAUCUCACCAUCUAAAAUAAUUUGCCGCCCUUUUGAGGUUCUUUUAAACACCAAGAGACUCCCGAUAGUUUUGGUAGCAAGCGGAGCCUUUACACUUGCCAAAUUUUUUUCUAUAUACUCCAAAUGAGGUCUAUUGAAAAAAGCUAUUUGUUUGAAUAAUGACCAAUAUUCGUGUUCAGAUAGUUCCUUAAUGGAGAUAAUAUCAGUUGAUUCCAUCAUUUUGGCAAUUGUCUCCUUACAAGUAAUAACUAAAAUUUUACUUCCACGUUGUCCAAUUAUUAGACGACGUCGGAAUGACUCUCAUUUAUUGUAAUCUUCUGUUCUCAAAUCAUCUAAGACAAUAGAUUUUUUUUUUCUUGCAGUAGAUGUAUAUAUGCGUUCUUUAAGUGAAUUUAGUUCCCCUAAAUUUGGGGUGUAACCCUUUAAAGCUUCAAAAAUUACUUUUGCAAUCCUAAAUUCACAAUAAGGGUCCGAUACAAACAACCAUAUCCUCUCUCUUUUUUCUUUUUUUAAGGAAAUACCUUCUAAAAAGUUUCGUUGAUUUCUUUCAUCGUCUUAGCAAUGUCAUGACGUAGAAGCACUUGUUUGAAACCAAAACAAGGGAGAAAAAGAAGGAACAUACCGGCUUCCUAGAAGCCUUGAUUGCAAUUUGAGCGUUGUAGUGAUCCAUUGAUCACUCAUCCAACACACCCUCCAUGUCGUAGGAUGCCUCUUAAGCUGAUCGGGCAGAGUCUAGCACCUCCCUCCUUCACUUGCCUUUGCUGUGCAUCAACCACAGCUUGAAUGGCUUCAGAAUUGCCUUGCAGCACUUUCAUUUCUUUUUUAACGCCCUUUACAAGUCUCACUUGAUCUUUUGCCUCAUCACCAAAUGUUGUCGUUAAUAAGUUCAUUUGUGCUAGCUUUAUAAAAUUUCCUUGGAAUUCGCAUUCCCCAUCGUGAGCACUAAUUGCUUUACCUUUUCUGUUUGACAAUGCGUCGUUGCUUUUAUUUGUUAUCAUUGAUGUUUAGCUAUUAAAGCAUAUAUAUACCCAUCUCUUGAUUUUCUUGACUAAUUCUACUUGAUCUAGCUUUUAUUUGAAAUUUGUUAAAAAAAAGUUAUCUUGUUCCCACUUCUUGGAAAAUAAUUAAUCAUAAGCACUCAUAAGCACUUGUUCUUAGAGUAUCACCAAAAGACUUUUCAAAUAAGAUUUUAUUACUUAUUUGAAGAGAGCUACAUCAACAUUUAAGGCUCCAAAAGACACUCCAAUUAAGAUUCUUCAAAUAAGAAAUGAUCAUCUCUCUUCAAAUUUGAAGAGUUACUUUCUCCCUCUUCAAUUUAUAUUUUAUUACUUUUUGUUGAAAAAAAGAGAAAUGUGUUUUAAUUACUAUUGACUUUUCUUUUAAAAAAAUAGUUAUUUAAUUAAAAUAAUAUUAACUCAUUUAUAUUUGAAGAGUCUUUUGGAGAACAAUAUAUUUUUUCACUCAUCUAUUUGCCACAUAGGUAAGCAAAUGAAUAUUUGAAGAGUAAAAUUUAUAGAGCCUUUUGGAGAUGCUCUUAGAUGCCUUUUGAUGAACUUGUAAUUUUAUAUGUAAAAUAAUCAAAUUUUGUUUUUUUGGAAUUUCCCGUAAAUUAUGGGUAGUUUAAGAGGAAAAUAAAUUAUAACAUCAAUAUGUAAAUAGAAAUCAGUUAUGUUCCCAAGAAACUACGCCCAAUAAAUCACUCGUUCUAUUAGUAUCCAUUAAUUCCUUCUUCUCAAAGCAAGAAAUUUGCAUAAUUACAUUUACAUCGAUCAUGGGAAUGGUGGAACCAAUUAUUAGGCAUUUAACCCGAGAGUCAAUCUCGCAUAAUACUAUAAUUUCAAAGCAAGAAAUUUGCAUAAUUACAUUUACAUAUGAUUACCUUUUUUUUAAAAAAAAAUGGAAUCUAUUCUUUUCUGGCUUUGUAUUACCAUUGCAAGCAAUAAUUAAUUAAAUGAUAAUGUUAGGGAAACUUAAGUUUUGAUGUUAGGUGUCAUUUAUUUUAUUGGAUAAUGAAUUUCAAUAAAAUUACUUAACCAUUAUCUUGUUGGGAUUAUGUGAUCUUUUAAAGCAUAUUAAUUUAUUUCUGAUUAAUAAAAUAUUUGAGAUAUUUUUCAAUUGCAUAAAUAUAUUGAAUAAGGUUCGUUUAAUCAUAUUAUAUGUAUUUAUGUGAUUAUUAUAUGGAUUCAUAGAAGACAUAAAUACAAGUUAUUUUAUGAUUAAAUAAAUUAAGUUCGUAGUUGAUUAAUAAAGUUGAGCGCUCUAUUUAUGUUUAGACUAUAGUAAAUUCAUUAAAUGAUUUAUCUUAAUCAUGUAUGAAUUUACUAAUGUAGUUUGACUACAUUGAGCUGGAUCACAUAUGAGAUUUAAUUAAUCUUGAAAUGACUGUCAGACUUAUUAAAUUUCAUAGGCAUUGAUUUUAUUGUAAUCUUAAUCUUGAGUUAGUUAUAAUUUCAUGAUUGUAAUUGUUAUUCCAUUUAAAUUACCAAUGGACACGAAGCAUUUGUAGUCAAGAUUACCCAGUAUCUUGGUGGGAGCAAUUAUGAAUAUUGGAGUUAUAGAUUAACAAUAUAGAAUUUGUACAACACAUUUCUUGAUGGGUUUUCGGCACUUGAUCAUAGAAUUCUCUGGCCAGAGUGUGUCAACAUAUUUAUUAUGUUGAAAAUAAUCAUUAGAGAAAAUCAGUAAAUAUCAAGGAAUAAGAUGUAAUUAAAUCGAUUGGACAGUUGAGAUAUCGAUUUAGUUAACGAUGUGGUACAAAUGAUUAUACAGUAAAGAAAUCAAUGUGGCUUGGGACGAAUUAUUAUUCGAGCAUACAAUUAUGGAGGUCAGUUCCAAUCUUUUAGUGGAGUAGAUUUAGAAUUAAAUAAUUGAGCUAGUUUAAUUACAGGCCUAAUUAUUGUAGCCAUUAUUGUAUGUGCUCAAAUGAUCCCCGGGUUAGCUCAUUUAAUUGACUGCACCACUACUGGAUUAAUAAGAAAGAUAACUAGCUAUUUAGGUUAAAAGACUAAAUAUAUUAUUUAGUGGGAGACUCCAUUAAUAUUCUUGAGUGUAAGGGGCAUUGUGUUAUUUUACAAGGUGGGACCCUAUAACAUAAGAACAAGUAACAUGACUUUUGUUUUAAUUAUUUUUUAAUUUAAAUCAAAUGGGAUUUAAUAAAAUUAAAAAAAUAAAUAAAAUGGGGCCUAGGGUUUCCACUAAAUAAAAAUAUAAAAAUGCUUAUUUUCUCUAAAGAAAAGAGACAGAGAGCCACAUUAUACAGUUCAGAGAAAAAAAAAAUUUUCUCUCUAAUUUUGAGAGAAAAGUUUUCUCCUGCUAGUUGCUUUUAGUGGUGAUAAAGACGUCCAUACGUCAAGUGCAGAUCAAACUUGAGUCAUAGUCUGGAAGAUUUUUUUGUGGUGGAUCGUGAUCUAACAUGAGUGGUAGUUACAGAUCGUGAUCUAACAGGAGUGGUGGUAACGGAUCGUGAUCUGGGAGCCUAAAUCACUUCAGCGAAAAAAACCAAAUUGAAUUUUCAAUGUACGAUUUCUAGAUUACAAAUUCUUAUAUAUUGUAUGAGAGCGAUCCUAAAAUUUUUUAUAAAAAUAUUUAAAAAACUGAUUUUUCUCGAACACAUCUAAUAAAUGAAUACAAAAUGAGAUAUUUUGUAUAGAGAUAUUUAUUGCUCAUAUAUGCGUCGCCAUAGACAAAGGUUUCGGCCCUUAACACGAUUUGGUCACAAUCAACUGAAUCAAGAGCAAAUAAUCUUGCCUGCAAGCACGCACGCACGCAAUGGUCAAAUAUUAGAAAUCAGUCAAAUUCUUUCCAGCUAUGAGAUAAUUCUCGGAAAUAAUUGUAACAUACUGUACACAAUUUGCAUCAUCGAAGAUAUAAUAGAAGUUAUACAUUUGGGACCUAGUACCUACAACGUAGAUAGUAAUCAUAUUAGAACUUCAUGUUCUAAUUAAAAAGGGUUAAUUCUGGUCAAGACUAUAGAACAUAUGCUAAUAGAGAUGUUCUUUUCUCAGUGAUGCCAACAUUAUUACAUUUAAAAUGAGAUUAUGUUUCAUCAUACAAAAAUAAAUAAAUAAAUAAAGAUUUCAUGGAGUCAGAUUAAGUUGAGAGGCUGCAGCAAUCCUCCUAUUUCUCUUUCUAUGGUGCUCUCCAUAAAUCUUACAAAAUUUAUAUUAUUUAAGACAAAAAAAAUUAAUCUUCUGUAAAUUACAAUUAAUAGUUUAAUUCCAUAGUGCACACAGCCACUGAACGUCAGCGAGAUUUUUUUUAUAUUUAAACUUAUAAACAUAAUUUUCUUAUUGGUCAACUAUUACUAAAUAGGGAUAAAUGAAAUAACACAAAUCAAAUGUCUUUGAGAAACUUUAGAUUCUUAGUUUUAUAUACAAUUUCUCAUCUUGUAUAAAUGGAUAUAAAAGAAAUAAACUUACUUAAAAAAAAAUAUUAUUGUUCAUUAAAAAUGCGAGCAUUAUUCUCGUUUUCAGUGACCAUUUCUUUGACUAACAAUGUUUUGUUUCCAGGGAUUCGAAUUCUAUGCAAAGGAAUCAAGAUUUCACGUUCUUCUCUGUUUAAUUCGGUUAUUAAUGAAAAAAUAUAGUAACAAUGAACUAAACUAUUAUCACGCAUUAUAAAAAAAAAUUAUACAAAAUUCAUAAAUAUUCUAAUUACCACGUUGAAAUUUAUAAAAUGACACCAAUGCCACUUUAACGUAGUUGAAAUGUAUAAAGCGUAUGAUAUAAAUAAGGUCGCAAUUUCUUUUUCACAUUCCUAUUAUGUUUUUCUCACACAGAUAUAAUGCUUUUUUUUCUUUUUUAAUGUCAAAAUAUAAUAAAAACCCAACAAUUCAAAAUCUCAUUUCUUGCCAUUUUUUUUUAAUUUACUUUCUUUAGUUUCUUCAUUCUUUUAAAUUUUAUUUAUUAAUAUACAUUCAAAUAUUGGAGGAAACUAAUUUAAGAAUUCAUAUUAUAUAAAUAAUAAUCUCCUUGGGAAAUUAACAAAUCAACAUCAAGGCCACUUCGGCCUUGGCCGAAGUGGUGGGCUGCUGCCCUCACAAGCAUUGUGAGGGCAGCGGUUCUAGCCCCCACAAAAGCAUUGUGGGGGCUAAAUGUUCUUUAUAUCCUUCUCUUGCGAAAUGCAAGUGGAGUAUGGAUUGUAAUAAUGUAAGUCCCAAUCAUGUAUAUCUGAUUGUAAAUAUCAGUGUAAUAUCUCUGCUACAAUAAGCAGUUGUUGUAAAUAUCUGUGUAAUGCAGUAAUCUGAUGAUUAAUCAGUCUCAAAAAAAAAAAAAAAACAAAUCAACAUCAAGAUCUAUCAAACAGCCGCCCACAAAUAUGAGAGCCUGUCCAACUCUGACAAUAUUAGACAGUUCUUUUUAGGUGUGAUCUUGGUUAAAAUGAAAAAGAAAAUGUAUAAAAAAGAAAUUACUCAUGUUUUACCAUAUAACACUUAAUACUACCACUUAUUAAACUUAAUUAUGCAAAUGAAGAGGAAAUUAACUUGAUAAUUGAAUAAUUUGUGUGUUUACUGCACAUACAACCGCACACAAAUAUUUUACCUCUUCAAUCCAUCUCUGUUUGUGUCGGUUAUUUCCCUGCCUUUCAGAAAAUCAUUAGUGAUUGGUGCCUUUUUUUGUGCUAAGGCAAAAAUAUUUCAAUCGUUGAUAAUGUAAUGUGAAAACCUACAAAAAUAAAUAAAUAAAUCAGUUUUUUAUGCUAUUUUUUUAAAUAUAAAAUCAAAUUUCAAAUUUAUUUUUUCUCCACUUAAAAAUUUCAGAAGAAUUAAGUUAAGAUUAUCCUUUUGUAAAUUGAUUAUCUUCAAAUCACCUCCUUACUCUCAAUAAUCACAAUUUAAAAAAAGGAAAAAAAAUUAUCAAGCAACUUCCAUUUUUUCUCUUAACUUCCAUUUUUUCUCUUAUCUUUUGAAUAAAAAUGGAAGUAACUUGAGGUUUUUAGAAAUAAGGGGGUUGAUUUGAAGAUAGUUAAUUCACGAGGAGGGUAAUCAAAAAUUUAUUUAUUUCAGAAUAUAUAUAAAUUAGCGGCUAAUCUUAAAAAAUAGAGAACAAGUAUAUAGUAAGUAUAUAGUAAACAUUGAGUUUUAAAGAUGAGUUUGCGUAAUUAUAUGAUAGGAAAUUUUGUAUUGAAAAAAAAAUGAAAUGAUUAAAAAAAAUUUAAGCCUAGUUUUCACCUAGCUUGGUGCCUUCACAGAUGUUUCGCACUCCACGGACAAGAAAAACUAUUUAUUUUACCAUUUUGAAAUCUAUGCAAAUAAAUUGACACAACGGGGAGCGAAAGUGGAUUGAUAGGAUAACUGAAUACUAAAUACAGCUUUAGUAUCGAACCAAGUUAAUGCGACAAAAUUACACUCUAAUCGAAGCGUGGUUAGAUCUCAUUUUAAUCCAAAUGACUUAAUGGGAUUUUGACAACAUUUUAAGUGAUAUUAGAUGACGCUCUGAUCAAAAUAACUUUACAAAGGAGAGACCUCAAAGUUUUCAAUGAGGGACACAAGAACUCCUUUUAACUAUAAUACCCUUUAGCCCUAUUAACUAAAAACGAUUGACUCUAAUAUUUUAUAAUAAAUAAAAAUAUAAUAUUAAGAUAAAUGUAACAAUUUAUAACUUUAAAAUAAUUUCAAUAUCUNNNNNNNNNNNNNNNNNNNNNNNNNNNNNNNNNNNNNNNNNNNNNNNNNNNNNNNNNNNNNNNCAGCAGUAAUAAAUAGAAACAUAAUAUUGAAAUAAAUAUAUAAAAAUUUAAAUAAUUUUUUGAAAUAAUUUUAAUAUGUUUAAUACAUGGGUAUAUUUUAUUAAUCGUAAAAUUUAUUUAACCCAAAGAUUUAUUUAAUUUUUUAAUAAAUACAAGUAUAUUAUUAAAAUAAAUAUAAUAAUUUGCAUUUCAAAAAAUAUUUUAUAUAUUAAAAAAUUCUAAUACUGUUAGUGCACUCGACAAAUUAACUAUUUAAAUUAUAUUUGUAUUUAUUACAAAAUACGGUUUCUAUGAAUAAAAAAAGGGUCUUGGUAUUUCUUCUUGAAAACUCAGGAUCCACAUGACAAUUUCCCUAAAUGUUGGGGUGACGAUAUCAUUUUCCAAAUAAAUUAUAAAGGAAAGGUUUCUAUUGAAUAAUUGAACUUGAAGUAAUAAUGACAAGACGUACUUAUUUACAAUAGGGUAAACAUACUUCCCUAAAUUAAAGCAAAAUUAUAAUUGACUCUAAUUAAAAAAAAUAUCAAAAGACCUGAAAUAAUAAAAUUUUAAAAUUCUAAAAUAACAUCCUAUAUCAUAUUCAUUAAUAAAAUUAUAAAGGGAAUAGAAAAUUUUUUUAAGUUCAUUAUAAAGAGUUCUAAAGAAAAGUUUGAAACAAUAAUUAAACUAACUAGCAUAGAUAUAAAUGAAAUGUAAAUAGAAAUAUGAAGUUAAAAUUGGGGAAGCCUUUUUUUCCCCCCCAAUUUUGUUUAUUGAUUUUGCAUGUUGGAAAGUCGAUGGAAGUGGUGGAUCAUUAAUCCAAUAUUAGUCUUAUAUGUGAAUAAUUAUGUGUUGUGAACUGUCAUAUAAGGUUAAACUCAAUUAAAAGUUAUUUAUUGAGAUUUGAGAUAAUAUAAGCUUCAAUGCAUCUAACAGGGUGUGAGUCUUUAAUAUGUAGAUAUUUAAGAGUAAUUUCCAUUUCAAUAAUGGGCUGAAAUAGGAAUACCAAAGACAACAUAAAACAUUGCCCAUAUAAGUGGUUAUGAUCCUCAGGUCACGUAUCAUUCUAUUCUUUCUGACAUCCCAUUAUCAGAGAGAGUAUAGAGAAACUUAAAGGAUUUUCUAGAAGAACGUAUUGAUCUGGAAGGCUAAUCUCACGACUCUAGAGAGCAAUUAAGCAAUAUGAACUCAAUUACGCUUCCGCAUAUUUAUUCAUUGAUUAUUGGUGAUACAACAUGAAUAUUCCUGGAUUAUAGGUGAUAGUUUUCACCAAAAGAUUUAUUGUUCUAAUAAGUGGUAUUAAAGUCUCUUCAUAUUGAAUCAUCGAGAAUCAAAUUUAUUUUUGAUUAAUGAUUAAAGUUUAUGUGUUAUGGAAUUUAAUAAUUUCGAUAUUAUUGAAUCUGAGAACAAAUUUCUAGCUGUUUUCUGGUAUUGAUAAAUACUAAGAAAUCCGACAUUUAAGAAUGUUUUUAGAAAUUUAGAUUUAUUUUUUGAAAAAAAUGAUGAUUAAGGUUGGCGACAGCAGUAGCCACCAUUGGCAUUCGGGUAAGGCGUGCCCAUUGGACCACACCAUUAAGGCCACAGUAGAUAAAGUAAAGAAACAAAAAGAGAAAUGGAAACCCCAACAGGAAGCCACGACUUAUAAAUUGGGUACAACGGCAGCCAUGAAGAAAAAGAGGAAAAAUUGUUAGGGUUUCUGAAUUUGAAGCUGGUUUAGGAUCUGAUUCAGGUCAACCCGAACAAGUCUAGUCCCAACUCAGUUAAUAGUUUACGAUCAAUUAUUGAUCGUUGACCAAAUUUUGACUCCGAAUUUUUUAAGGGUAAUUUUUAAUGCAAUUUUAAAUUCAAAUAUUGGUAUAUUUAUAUAUAUUUUAAGAUAAAUUAAUUGAAGCAACAUGUCGACAAAGUGACUUAUUGUGAAAAUUAAUUUAUUUUAGAAUAUGAACAAUUAUGUGUAUGUAAUUUCUAUGAAUAUCGAUCGACCCAAAGGAAAGUCCUCAUUUACAAAAGUGCAUGUGCACCUAUGGUAAUAAACUCGUGAUGAUUAUUUCAUUUUACAUGUGAACAAUAAAUUAGUUCAAAGGAAGAUUUAUUACUAGAGUGUUCUGAUUAUUAAUGUUUGAUUACUACACCAAGAUAUCACUUACAAGUUAAUAUUUUGUCCAAAGAUAAAAUAUUAAUAGAGUGUCUGGUAUCUUGAGAUGGAGUUAACAUUUAUUUGAAUUUAUUUUAAAGAUUUAUAUGAGCUUGUAUUGUUUGUUUGUGUUCUUUGUUUAGUUAUGACUUCAGUUGAUAUUACCGCCAACAUCAAUUCUAUUCUUAUACUAAAUGGCUCUAACUUCAAUUCAUCGCAAAAGAACCUCUUAAUAGCUUUUGCAGUCAUGGAUCUUGACCUUGCAUUAAGGGUUAAUUCUCCCUCACCUCUUAUAGAUGACAUUACUUCGAAUGACAAAAAUGAUUUGGAAAGGUGGAAGAAAUCAAAUCGCAUGUGUGUGAUGAUCAUAAAGAAGGCCAUUCUGGAAGCAUUCAGGGGCUCAAUGCUAGAAAAGGUAACAAUUGCUAUGGAGUUCCUUGUAGAAAUUGAACAGAGGUUUUUCAAGAAUGAAAAUGCAGAAAUAGAUACGCUCUUAACAAAUUUAAUUUUAAUAAGGUAUAAGAGCAAGAACAAGGGCAAGAAAAGGCAUAAGGAUAGGAAAGCUGCAGAUACAACACCUCAAAAGAAACAACAAAAGAAAUGGGAUGAUUCGAAAAGUACUAGUUAUUUCUUUUACAUAGCUAACGGAUAUGGUUUGCUUUGUUUUGAGGUUAACUUAACUUCAAUACCAAGACAUACGUGGUGGAUAGAUUCUGAUGUAACCACUCGCAUAAGUGUGUCUAUUCAAGGUUGCUUGAAUUGUUGAAAGCCCAGUGGUAGUGAAAGAUACAUCUAUGUAGACACUGGCAAGAAGGUUGAAUUGAAGUAGUUGGAAAUUUAGAAUAUUAUUAAAGAUCAAUUUUUUUUAAAUCUUGAUGAAAUAUUUAUUGUUCUGUCUUUUAGAUGGAAUUUGAUUUCCAUUUUUUCUUUGGACAAGUCUAGUUUUACUUAAACAUUUGGCAAUGAAAAUUUCAACUUGUUUCGUGAUUUAAAACUGCUUGAUUCUAAUUCUUUGACAAGUGAUGAUAAUUUUUAUAUGCUUGAUACAAUUGCUUCAUUUAAUAAAUCCCUAAAAUUCAGUACAUGAGGUUUAAACAGAAGAUAACCAAUGAGAAUUCAGCUGCGUUAUAGAACAAGAGAUUGGGUCAUAUCUCUAGAUGGAGAAUAGAAAGACUUGUGUUAGCUAAAAUUCUCGACCGCUUAGAUUUUGUUGGUUGCUUCUUAUGGCUGCUUGAAGUGGUCAACAAUAUUUUAUGAUAUUCAUAGAUGAUUUAUUCUAGAUAUGGUUAUACAUCUCCUCAAUUAAAAGUCACAAUCCUUACAUAUGUUCAAAAAUUUUAAGGAUAAAGUUGAGAACCAACAUGGAAAAAGAAUCAAAAGCGUCAGAUUUGAUCAUUGUGGUGAAUAUUAUAGUAGAUAUAAUGGUUCAGAUAAGCAGUAUCCAAGAUUGUCUGCUAAGUUUCCUAUAAUACACUAUGCUGGGUUCGCCAAAUAUGAAUUGUGUUGUUAAAAGACAAAAUAAGAUGGUUAAGAACAUGGUAAGAAGUAUGAUUUGUCAUUUUAAUUUACUAGAAUCAUUCUGAGGAGAAGCGCUUAAGACUGCAACAUAUAUUCUUAAUAAGGUUUCAACUAAAGCAACUGCCAAAACUCCUUACGAACUUUGAACAUGAAAGAAUAUUAUUUUAAAGCACUUGUAUCUUUGGGAAUGUCCAGCCGAGACAAGGCCUUAUAGGCCUAACGAGAAGAAACUAGACUCAAUGAAAGUGAAUUGCUAUUUUAUUGGAUACUUUGAAUGACCCAUAUAGUACAAGUUUUAUAAUUCAACAAAUAAAUCAAUUUUUCGAGCCAAGCAAUGCUCGAUUUUUUGAGGAUGUCAAGUUUGCUGGGGGGGAGAUACAGGUAAGGACUUUGUCUUUGAAAAUGAAUAUGUUGAUAUUCUUACAUGUGUUAUUGGUAUUGAUCAGGUUCUCAUUUCUGACCUUAUUUAAGAUAUAACAGAUCAAGAUAAUAUUGGAGAACCUCCAUACAUGAAAUUGUUAUAGAAGAACAAAUUCUACCACUUCAAGAACUUAUACAAUUAAAUAGAUCCACUAGAGAAAGGAAAAGUGCAGUGUUAGAUAACUACAUUAUAUUUCUCUAAGAACAUAAGGUAGACAUUGGAGUAAUGAAAGAUGAUCCAAUCAAUUUUCGUCAAGCUAUAAAAGGUUCUAUCUCUCAGAAGUGGAUUGAUACCAUCAAUAAAGAGAUGAAAUCCAUAAAAGACAACGACAUAUUGAAUCUUGUCGUAUUCCAAAAAGGUAUGAAACCUGCUGGUUGCAAAUAGAUAUUUAAACUAAGAGAGAUUUGAAAGGUAAUGUAGAAAGAUACAAGAUGCGUCUUAUCACAAAAGACUUUAUACAGAAAAAAAAGGCAUCGACUAUAAAGAAACUUUCUCUUUGGUUUCUUCGAAAGACUCUUUUAGGAUCAUAAUGGUAUUGCAGCGCCUUUUAAUCUUGAGUUACAUUAAAUGGAUGUGAAGACAACAUUUCUCAAUGGUAACAUUGAUGAGACGAUCUAUAUGGUGCAACCAUAAAAACUUUGUGUCAAGAGAUCCAAAGAAUAUGUUUUGCAAACUUAAAAAAUCCAUCUAUGGGCUCAAGCAAGCAUCUAAACAAUAAUAUUUCAUGUUCUAAUAAGUGAUCAUAUGAUUUAGUUUUAAGAUGAAUUUGGCCAAUGAUUGCAUAUACCAUAAGUCCUGAUUUAGUUUUAAGAUAACAUUUUGCUUGCCAACAAUGAUAUAGGCCUACUGUACAAUACUAAUAGAUUUCUUGUUAAAAAUUUUAAGACGAAAGAUCUUGAUAACGCCUUUUUUGUAUUAGGCAUAUAGAUACACCAGGAUUACUUUAGGGGUAUUUUUAGAUUAUUAUAAUAGAGCUAUAUUGAAACGGUUCUCAAGAGAUAUGACAUACAAGAUUACAAACCAAGUGGUACCCUUUUUACUAAGGGAGACAAGUUUAGCCUCAAUUAGUGUCCUAAGAAUGAUUUUUAGGGGAAAAAAUGGAGAAAAUUCCCUAUACGUCAACAAUAGGAACUCUAAUGUAUGCUCAGGUUUGUAUGUGAUCGGAUAUUGCAUAUGUCACUAGGAUAUUGGGUAGAUUUUUAAGCAAUCCAGGAGUAAACCUUAAAAAAAAAAAGCCAAAUGAGUUUUACGGUACUUAAAGAGAAUAAAAGAAUACAUGCUCACGUAUUUGAGGUCAAAUCAAUUGGAAAUCGUUGGGCAUAUUAGCUCUAAUUUUGUUGGAUGCCAAGAUAAUAUGAAAUUCUCUUCAGGUUACAUCUAUCUGCUAGCUAAGGGUGUUGUUCUUGGAAGUGUCCUAAACUGUAUCUUAUAGCCUCUUCUACAAUGGCAAUAGAGUUCAUAGUAUGUUAUAAGGCAUUCAAUCAUGGAAUAUGACUGUGGAAUUUUGUCACAAUGCUGUACAUAGCAUAUGGUAUUGAUUGGCCACUUAAGUUAUUUUGUGACAAUAAGUUAGCAGUGCUAUAUUUCAAUAAUAAGAGCUCGAUGAAAUCAAAGUAUAUAGACAUCAAGUUCCUAGUUGUUAAAGAAGCAGUUCAAAAUAGAUAAUUGCCUAUGGAGCACGUCGGCACAAACUGGAUGAUUGUAGAUUUACUUAGUAAGAGAUUGCCAUCCAAAAUGUUUCAUAAGCACGUUACUCGUAUAGGUGUCAUGUCGUUAAAGGAUAUCCAAUUUUACUAGGAGUUCGUGAUUUUAGAUGCUCUUAUGUUAUAGACAUUUUCAGUUAUUUUCUGUAGAAAUAAGUUUUAGUUUAUUGAUACUCUAAUUUUAGUAUGGUUUGAUCUCACUAAGUUUUGAAGUAGACUAAUUGGAAAUAGGCAUGUUAAGAUUACAUUGCAUAAAAUUUCUAUUCAACACAUCCACAUUAUAAUCCAUGUCAUUUAGUUGUAUUGGCAUAAUGACUAUUGAUGGGAUGAGUUACAACAAUUGUAACAAAGGCUGCUUUAAUCUUAUAUUGGUGUAAUUAAUAGCCUGAAUUAGUUGUAGAUAUAUUUCAAUAAUGAUAGUAAGGUUGUGCUCAUAUAGUUAUUAUUAUUAUUUUUGUGUAUAUUUCAAUAAUGAUAGUAAGGUUGCGCUCAUAUAGUUAUUAUUAUUAUUUUUUUUACAAAACAUAAUUAUAAGUUGCAUAUAUAGCCCAAGAGGAAGAUUGUUAGAUCCUUAAUCCAACGUUGGGCUUAUAAGUGAAUAAUUGUGUAUUAUAGACUAUCAAAUAAGGUUAAGCCUAAUUGAAUGUGAUCUACUAAGGUUUACCGUAAUAUGGGCUUUAAUGUAUAUAAUAGGUUGUAAGCCUUUUGUUUGUAUAUACUUAAGGGUAAUUUUUAUCUCUAUGAUGACUGAAAUAAGAAUACCAAAAGACAACAUAAAACGUUGUCUAUGUAAAAGGUUAUGCCCCCAAGACAGAUGUGUCAUUUUAUUCAUCCUGACAUUCCAUCAUUAGAGAGAAAACACACUAAAACUUAAAGAAUUCCCUGGGAUAACGUGUUGAUCUAGAAGGCCAACUGCAAGACUUUAGAGCGCAAUUAAGCAAUAUAGAUUUAAAUACACUUUUGCAUAUUCAUUCAUUGAUUCUCGGUAAUACAACAUGAAUGUUCCUGGAUGUAGGUGAUGGUUUUCACUAAAAGAUUUAUUAUUGUAACAAAAAGAAGUAUUAUAAGCAAAAUCGAGCAAUGAUGAAGCAUGAAGGCGAAGCAGGGUACAUUGUGGAAGAGAAUGUGGGAGAGGAAAACAGGGUGCAUGGUGUGAGAAGAGUAAAGAUCUCGAGAGUUGUUUAUUGCAUGCUUUCUAUUUAGGGUACGUAUUGAAGGUCAAUAAUGAAGUGUCAUGUGUCGAUGAAAAAUUAUAUGAUUAAAAGUAUCACCAGAAGGUACCCAACCUAUGUACAUCUGAUAAUUGAGGUGAUACACUAGGUACGCCAUACCAAAAGUAAAGUGGUAAAGAAAAGUCUCUAAAAUAUAAAUAUGAGAAAUGUCUCCCUCGCUUAAAAAGAAUAUUUGAUUUGGUAAGAUCAAAUAGGGGAUAUCUUGUUAGAAAAGAGAGGACAGCUCAAGGACAAUGGUCUCUAACUGCCACGCCUAAUAAUUGCCAAGACAACUUUCGCAAAGGUGUCCUCGACCACUCAGCAACGUACACUACAUGUACAAGAAAACAAACCACACUGAAUAACGUCCUUCUUGCUACCCAAACAUGUUUUUAAUGAACCAUAAUCAUGAUAAAGGUGAAAAGAUAAAAGAAUUUUGAAAACUACAGUAAAAUCACCGCUAUAAAUGUGCCACGUGACAUGACAGACAAGGUACUCUAUAUAUAAAAACACUAAAGUUCUACUCUUCCCAAAUAUUCAACAAACACAGAUACACUCCACAAAUAGGCUGAGGUCCCCUUCAACCUCUAGCCACAAUUUUAGAGAGCUUGCAAGUUCUCACACCAUAAAUAGUUCAAGUACCUGACUUGAGCAUUAGAGUGUGGUAUCCGGCCACCUCGGCUCCAUUUUUAAACUCUUUUCAUUGUUUUGCAAGUCUAAGGUGUCCUUUCAAGCUCUCUCACUCCAGAUUUAGACCUCUCACAAUUAUUAUCACCCUCAUACUCUUCUUUAUGUCUUUUAAAGAGCAAAACAAUGUACACACUGUGAUUAAGUGAAGUACCAUGUAUCUUAAAAAUAAAUUUAUUGUUUUAGCCAAGUUUUGCUCUUUUCUUUUGCACCUGAAAAUCUACCUAAAACAAUCAUCUAUGCCUUUAUUAAGGCCAAACAUCUCUUUGUAGCUAUCAGCUUACUUUAUUAAUCUUAUAUAAUGUAAAAUCUUCUGUAACCUCUCAUUUAUAUAUUGGAUUGGUGAUUACUUGCUCCCGUGGACGUAGGCCAAGGUUGAAUCACAUAAUGGUGUGUUCAUUGUAUUUAUAUUUAUUUCACUGUAUUUUCAAUUUGUGGUGGAGAUUUGUUUCACGUGUGAGCGUACUUGACGUACCCACUUACACUAAGCCAUUUUGUUAGCUUCGCACCAUUUCUCAUAAGGCUACCUCUGAUUUCUAUAAUCGUAUAACAAUGGUUCAGAAGGGCAAGGCUGGGUCAACACAUAUUUGCAGCCCUUAGCAGUGAGAAUAUUAAAUAGAUUGCAUUUCCAAUCUAAAUAAUUUUCGCCAGUGAGUUCAUUUUUAACAAGGAUAAUUAAUAAUGGGUCGAUGAAAGACAUUUUCUAAAAAAACAAACAAAAUAAACAUGCAUAAAUACUUUGAAACAAUAUUCAUAAUAAAUGACAAAAAUGCAAAAAAUCAUAAAUGCAUUUUAAUUUAUUGUAACGAUAAUCUAGUACCGCUUUGACAAGCUAUCCGUUGGGGAAGUCAUGUCUAUACUUACUAGACCCAAUUAUCCAUUAGAUUAGUUAACUUUCAUGUAGAGACAUGAUAAAUAAUUAUUGUUAUCCUUUUGGGCCUAAAUUUGUUAACAGAGCUUCGUUGGGAAGGUUAAUAACAAAUUUUAGUUGAGUGUAUAACCAUUGUUUCAAUCUACGUAUUUUUCAUAUCAAUAGUCACCGUUGGGGCGAACAAUCGAUUGAAAAAUAUUUCAAUUUUAUCUUUGAAGAAGUUCAUCAAAUAAAAUAUCUAAUAUAUAUACCCUCCGUAGGGAGCAUCGCCGUAUCAUGAAGUCGAGGUAUAUAUAUAAUUUUAUUAUUGAACUAACAAUAGAGCCCAUGGGAAAAAUUAUCUUCAAUUUUCCCUCUCCCACUCAAUAUUUUAAAAUUGAUUUUUCCUUUUUAAAACAUACAUAUUAUUAAUUGCAUGCUUCCUAUAAUAUUAUCUAGAUGAUAUCCAAUAUUAUUAAGCAUAUGCAAAUUACAAACAAUAUAAUGAAAUUCAUUAAUAAUGAAUGACAUGUAUCAUUAUGCAUAGAGUUGCACUACCUAUUCUAUAUGACAUGUCAUCAUGACAUGUUAUCAUCUAAAACAUAACAUAUAGAAAAAUAAUUAAAUAAUCAGCAUUAACCCUAAGCCUAAUCUUCAUUGAUCUUCUUGUCAAUGUCCAUCUUCCAUAAGCUUGUCUUUGUUAAUGGACAAGCAGAAAUUGGGUUUUUAAAUUUAUAAUUGGUCCAAUUUUAAUUUUGAAAGGAAAUAAAAUAAAUAAAUAAAUAAUUUUAUUAAAAUAAAACUUUUGGACCAAAAAUAGAUUUAAUGUGUUCAAUUUUAUCUAUGCAUUUUAAUCCAUUAAGCCCAAUUGAAAUUGGACCUAAAACUAGGAUUCAUUAAGCCCAAAACUACUAUUGAACUUAAAUGUAAAAAAUUUAAACUUAUCAGCCCAAAGAGAAAAACUAUGGAACUAUAGGGAUUGUAAUGAUAAAAAUCAUUAAAACCCUAAAUCCAUAUUUUUCUCUCCCCAGCCGCCAUCACCACAAAGGGCAGCCACUGUUCACGUAUCUCCGACGCCGAUUUGACCAUCACCGCCACGCCGAAAAGCCACCAAACGAUCUUGCUGCUGUACCGUACAUCCGCCUUGGCCGUACAGCAGCUUGCUGUUGGUUGCCGCUGAAAUUUUCAACCUUCGUUCUCUGAUUUGUCAUCUAGUUUCCGUAAUUUUCCAGUAAUUAAUUUGCAAAUUUCCUAGGCCAAUUUUUGGCUUACAAAAAUUCUAUAACAGUAAAAUAAAUCAAGAGGGAAACAUGGUGAUAAAAAGCAACCCCUCUUGUUACAGAUCCAAACGGAAAAUACAACGGAAAAUCUAACCAUGAAUUAAGACAAACCAUAACAUGCUUUAUUCAUAUAUUAAACAAAUAAUAUAUAUCUGAAUAAAUUGUGCCACUCCAAUACAUAAAUUUCAAGAUUAAUUUCAUACGAAAUUCUUUUAUAUUAAUAUGAGAUGGCUCUGAUACCAAUUGUUGGGGAAAAAUCAGGUUUUUAAAUUUUUUUAAAACCUUUUAAGGACCGCUCUCAUAUAAUAUAUAGGAAUUUGUAAUCUAGAAAUUGUACCUUGAAAAUCCGAUUUAGAUUUUUCCGCUGAAGUGGUUUAGGCUCCCAAAUCACGAUCCGUCACCACCACGCCUAUUAGAUCACGUUCCGUCACCACCACGCUUGUUAGAUCACGAACUAUCACCAAUGAUCUUCCAGGUUAUGACUCAGAUUUGAUCUGCACUUGACGUGUGGGUGCCUUUAUCACUACCAAAGCAACUAGCACGAGAAAAUUUUUCUCUUAAUAAUAGAGAAUAAAAUCUUUUUCUCUGAUCUGUAUAAAGUGGCUGCUCUCCUUUUUCUUUAGAAAAAAUAAGCCUUUCAUAUCUCCCUUUAGUGAAAACCCUAGGCUCCAAAUAAUCAAAAAUAAAACUCACAUUACUUGUUUUUUCUAUAGGGGACCCACCUUGUAAAAUAACAUAAGACCCCUUACACAAAAGCUAAUUAAAUGGAGCCUCCCACUAAAUGACAUAUUUAGGCUUUUGACCCAAAUAGCUAGUUAUCUUACUUAUUAGUCCAGUAGUGGUGCAGUCAAUUAAAUGAGCUAACCCGGGGAUCAUUUGGGAACAUACAAUAGUGGCUAAAAUAAUUAGGCCUGUAAUUAAACUAGCCCCAUUAUUUAAUUCCAAAUCUACUCCACUAAAAGAUUGGAAUUGACUUCCAUAAUUGUAUGCUCGAAUAAUAAUUCGUCCCAAGCCACAUUGAUUUCUUUACUGCGCAAUCCUUUGUACCACAUCGUUAAUUAAAUUGAUAUCUCAAUUGUCCAAUCAAUUUAAUAACAUCUUAUUCCUUGAUCUUUACUGGUUUUCUCUAAUGAUCAUUUUCAACAUACUAAAUAUGUUGACACACUCUGGCCAGAGAAUUCUAUGAUCAAGUGCCGAAAACCCAUUAAGAGAUGUGUUGUACAAAUUCUAUAUUGUUAAUCCAUAACUCCAAUAUUCAUAAUUGCUCCCACCAAGAUACCGGGUAAUCUUGACCACAAGUAUGUGUCGUGCCCAUUGGUAACUCAAAUGGAAUAACAAUUACAAUCAUGAAAUCAUAAUUAACUCAAGAUUAAGAUUACAGUAAAAUCAAUGCCUAUGAGAUUUAAUAAGUCUGACAGUUAUUACAAAGUUAAUUAAAUCUCAUAUGUGAUCAUGUUCAAUGUAGUCGCACUACAUCAAUAAAUUCAUACAUGAUUAAGACAAAUCAUUCAAUGAAUUUAUUACAGUCUAUACCUAAAUAAAGUGCCCAACUUUAUUUAUUAACUGCGAACUAAAUUUAUUUAAUCAUUAGAUAACUUAUAUUUAUGUCUUCUAUGAAUCCACAUGGUGAUCACAUAAAUAUAUAUAAUAUGAUUAAAUGGACUUUAAUAAAAAUAUUAAUGCAAUUAAGAUAUUUGAAUAAAAUACCUCAUUAAUUUUAUUAAUCAGAAAAAUGUUUAUUACAAUUAAAUAAACAUCUAUGCUUUUAAAGAGCAUAUUUUUCCAACAUACUCGUCCAUGGCUCUCUUGCCAUCCCCAACAUAUGGCACAUGAUAUAGAACUCAAAUACCCCACCACACAGCAACAGUCAGACUGAUUAACUAUUAUAUUUCUUCUCGAUAAAAGCUAUACAAAUGACAGUCGAUCGCUAGCCAUACUCACUGCAUUUAAUAUGAAAUAUCAAAUAUAUCCCAUACAUGUAUAUAAUUAAGAAAUGUCAUUAAUAUUUCAUUUAUAAUCCAAGGUUACGUUAAUGACAUUGACAUAGUCGGGCUGUUCGUAAAGUACAAACGUUGCUUUGGGAACUGAGGAUUUAAGGGGUUAAAAGAUUCAUGCCAUCAUUGUUUGCCAUGUGGUUGUAGCUUAAGAUGAUUUUGCAUCCAGCAAUCAGACAAUAUCAUGACGAGUGAUGAUACAAUCACAAACUCUUGUAUUAUCUUGUACAAACUGAUGUGGCAUUAAUUUAUUGGUUGAAUGAAAAUAUAAAAUAAUAAAAAUAAAUCAUGUGGGUCAAGAGAUAUUUAAUUUAACUAAUGAAUUAACGCCACAUCAUUUGUACAAUAUAAGUUUGUAUAAGAGUUUGUGGCUAUAUCAUUACUCUAUCAUCACAAUCAGAAAUCACUCCCUUUUUUUUUGAUAUUAUCAUUUUCCCACCAAAGUUAUUCUCACACAUCAUGUUAGUACUACGAUUUAGGAAAAAUAACAUUUUACUACCAAGCAUUUAAAAUGUUAGCAUUUUUCCCAUAAUUCCGUUAAAACUCAGUUAAUAUUUAACGGAAAAUGCAUAAAAAGUUGAUUUUACCCCCGAAGCGUAAAAGAAGUUUUUACCAUUUAAAAAAGAAAGAAACAACAAAAGACGAUUUAAUUAAAAAAUUACCUCGACAAAGUAGCUGUUACAUUCAAAUAAUGACUACUUUUGUACUUAUAAAAGUUGGUUGUUAUUGCCUCUUUAAGCCAUUUCAACACCACUACACCAGCAACCUCAAUUCAAAGAUUAGCAACUCCAUUUGAGUACCAACAACCCUAGCAAAAAAGAAAGAAAAUGGCAACCCAGCAACUCAAAUUUUAACGCACAACUACAAGCCAUUGUAAACAUUUCAAUAUCAUUGCACCAGCAAGCCCAAGCCACUUUUAAACACCAAUAAGCUCAUUUUAACACUAGCAAUCAAUUAUUUAGUCAGAAUAUUUUUUUUCAGCAAUUACUUGUACAUAACAUUGAAUGCACUUGAAAUUUUGUAGCAUUAAAUGAAUGAAAUUGAAAAAGAUCCUUCAAACCUUACUUCAAGUGAUUUGAAAGAUGAUGUUAUGUCAAAAGUAAUACGUCCUGAAAAAUUUAUGUGAAAGCACUUAGAAAAAGAGUUACUUUUGCACAAUUAACCCUUAUAUCAUAGAAGGAUAUGGUUAUAGCUCAAGUACUAAAAGAUCAAGAUGAAAUGAAGAAAGAAUUAGCACAAUAUAGGACGUUCUUUGAAGAGUUACGAAAAAAGAGGUAUGUAUAAAAUUUCAUUACAUAACACAUACUUAUACAUACAUACAUAAAAACAUACAUACAUACAUACAUAUAUAUAUUUCCUACUAGUUCUGGUAAACAGAACAAGCUUUAACAAUAUUCAAAUUUCUUAUUUUAGGUUUUUCAAUGAAGGAAAAAAAUGAGUUUUUUGUUCUUUGCUUUAAAAGAUAUACUAUCAUAAUUGACAGUAGAGGGAGUAAUGAGAUUGAUAAAGGGGGUUCUUAAAAUGACAAUAUGGUGUAUGUCAUUUGUAAGAAUAAAAGAAGUCCUGAAUUCAAAACCAUUGUUAUGAAUAUAUAUAUAUAUAAAUGGCAUUUUUUUAACUAAAUUAUGAAAUUGUUAUUAUAUAAAGUCAAAAUCAAAGAGUCAAGAAUGUGAUGAUAAAUUGAAUGCACCUAUUCCUGUGGUAAGAAUUUGAAAGUCAGCAAUAUUAUUAUUUCAUUGUGCUAGAAUGUGAAUAUGAAGACUAAUAUCACUAAAUGCAAGUUGCUUAAUUGGGAGGGCUCUGAGGUUGUAGUAGCUGAAGGGUUUGGUCUUCAGGUGAUCCAAAAGCACUUGUUCAUCAUAUUCCUAUUGAACCAAAGGCCAUAAGAAUUUGGGUAGAUGUCGCAAAAGAACAUGAGAAGUAUUUAUCGAAGACUACACCUUAUAUGACAUAUAUUAAAGAAGUACUGUCGGUAGUACAGUUGCAUGGCCUGCAGAUGGGGUUGUUAUAGACUUUACAAAUUGAAAUUUGUGUCAUUCAAAUAUUUAGGUAAUUUCAUGUCCAUUAACUUUUAUAUAUUUUCUUGAGCAUUUCUUUAUUUUUUUUUUAGUGUAUGUGCCAACAUGGAGCUUAAGGCACCAUAUAUUGUUUUUAAUGACUUAUGGUAGUAGUAGUUGUUGGUUGGAAAGUAUAAUUUUGGAAGUGUUGAGUUGAUGAUAUAUAUGUUAUACAAGUUGUAAUUUGUUUGAGGAAAUAUCCAUGUUUUAGGGGAGACUCUGUCAAAAUCUUUACUAAGGAUAAGAUUAGUUGUAUACUUGAGUUCAUUGCUCAAAACUAGAAUUGGUGUAAAACUGUGAGUUAAAAUAAAUUUUUUUGCCACCAAUAUUUAUAGUUAUUUAAAUUUUAUGUUGAAAUCUCUUUAGUAAAAAUAAUCAUGAUAGUAAAUUAAAAUUUUCUUAUGAAAUACUUACAAAAGUUUAUCACUAGAUUUUCUCUUUUCAGGUGAUUUUUUGCACUUAUGUUUUUGUUUUUAAUUUAUAAUGCAGGUCAUGUUGAUAAGUACUACUUGUAAAGGAGUUUCCAAUGCAAAUUGAAGAUGAAAUAGUAUUCUUUUUGUUUAAUUAUUGCCUUUUUGAUACAUGGCACAUUAUGUUUAAAGUUAAACAUACUAUAUAUUUGUACUUGAUGCCUAUCUUUAAAUUAUGAUGUUCAUCUUCAUACAUUAUUGUUUUGAUACAAUAUUUUAUAUGUAUGAUAUAUUUUGUUCAUAUGGAGUAUAGGUUGAGAAAGAUUUUGUAUUAUUAUAAAAAUUAAUAUGUACAAAUUGAUAGAGUUUGUUCGAUUCUAUUUAACAAUUGAGAUAACAACUAAACUAUAACAAUUAAAUGCUUCAAGUCACUACUUUGUAAUAUCCAAGAAUGCUACAAACCAUUCAGUAUUGUAGCAUUUUUGUUAGGCUAUAUAAAAAACUUUGGUAGCAUUUCACAAAUGCUACGACUCAUGUAAUUUGUGGCAUCUUAAAAUUGCUAAUAUCAUGAAACCUGUAGCAUUUUUGUUUGCCACUAGAGAUAAUGUGAUUGCAUUUUUUAAGUGCUACUGGAUUAAAAUGUGUUCAUGACAAAAAUAAUACAAAUAACAUAUUUGCAUAAUUGUUAUUAUACUACAAAAGACAAUUUGAUAACAUUUCUUAAGUGCUACAUAAUGUGUACUGACAACAAUUAUCUACUACAACUAAAACUAAAUAUGUAGCUUUUAUUAUAUGCUACAAAAUUAAAAUUUAUAGCAUUCUAUAAUUACUACUAAAAAGGAACACUUUUGGUAACAUGGACUAACAUAGCACUUUGUAAACUGCUACAGUUUACUUUUAGUAACACUUCUCACGUGCUACUAUAUCUCAGCUUUGUUGUAGUGAGUGCAAACUAUAUCAUAGACAUUUAUCUAAUAGAGAAUGAAAAAUAGAAUACGAACCCCAGUUUUUAAGUAUCCCAUUAGGGUCAUUUGCCGUAAUCCAAUGGAGUCUCCAACCUGGAAGAAUCCAUCUCUUUGAUAUAGAUCCUCGUGUGUGUAAUUAUUAGCACAAUCGAUCCAAACUCUCCCAUUUGUACAUAUAUUGUUUAUUCCCAAAAGCUAAAUGGCCUCAGCGAGUACCCAAGCACCUACAGUGGUAUGCAUAUAAACUAAUAAACUAGAAUUGAACAUAAUGAUAGGCAAACACGUGUAAAUUCAUUAAGACAUAUUUGGGUUGUAUUGUAAAUUUUCAGAGGCCUCUCUUUCCUAAAUAUCAAAUUUACUGAAAUCACAUUGGAAACCCCCGAGAUUUUUUGAAAAACUCCUCAACAGAAGAGUAGUUCACUGAUAAAUGAUUGGCAAAACACUGCCCAUAUUUUAGCCAUAUCUUAUAUGGGUUUAAUGAAAAUUUUCCUAAAUAUAAAUUGUAAAGCGCUUGAAACUAUGCUACAUUUUUCAAGUAUUGAAAUGUUGUAGCACAAAAUAAAAGAUAUAAAUAUAGAAUUAAAAAAAUCAUCUAUAGUAACAGCUUCCUCACCAAGUUUGCCAAUGAAAAUAUAUAUACAAGGAAACAAAAAAUCUAAACAGUUGUACUUAGCUGAUCGAAUGCAUCAACAAUGGGUUCUUCGCUUCUUCGGCUAAAAGAGUAGUCUAAAAGCAAGGAAAGGAUGAGGGGGUCAAAAUGGUGAAGUGGGAUGAUAGACAAGUUAAUAUUAAUAUUAUCAUCUUUGUCGUUGUUGUUGAGUUUUUCAUUAACACGUCGACCACUACAAGAAAAAUUAUAUUUUAUUACAAAGAAUAUUCAUCACUAAAAAUAAUAAAUUAGUCACUUUAUAUUUUUUAUGAGAAAAAAUAAAUUGUCAUACGUUAGUCGUAGAAAGACUGUCUUAAAAGGUUCUAGUGAACAAAAUUAUUUUCAUCACUUUAAGAACAUGGUUCUUAAACAUAAUUGUCUUAAAAUUAAGUUAAAAUUUUAACGAAUUGUGUCUAAAAUGGUCAAAUUAGAGAUUAAAAAAUGCAAUCAAUGACACUUCAUAUUGGUCAUAAUAUGUGGUUUACAGUGACUAUAAUAUUUGUCUCAAGAAUAUGUAAACUUAGCCGCAACAAUUACUAAAACCGUCAUUUUAGAGGUUCAAAGAAACAAUUAGCAACACUAUUUUUUUGUUGUUGAAGUUUACAUAUCGUGACAUUUCAUAAUCGUCCUAAGUAGUUUUCAAUUGUGACAAUUUUUGCAAAUACAAUUGGUAAUUAAUUUAGUCUCAACUUUAUUUUAUUGACAAUUUAUUUUACGAUUAUAUGACUAGUUAAAUUGUAUCAAAACAUUUUAAGUGACCAUUAUCUCUUGUCAUAAAAUGUAAGCAUUCACAACUAUAGUUUUUAGUCAGAAAAAUUAACAUGUUGUAACGUAUUCUUUCUUUACAAAAUAUAUUUAAUAUAGUCUGACAUUAUUUUUUAUUACAAUGCAUUUUAUUCUUUUAUGACUAUUUAUAUCGUACCUAAAAAGUUGAAAUGACUACAUUCAAUCGUCAUUAAAAGAAAGCAUCUAUAACAACAUAUUGUAGUCAUAUAAAUCGAUAUAUAGUGACCAAAAAAUUUUGAUUCAAAAAAUGUUAUCCUUUGAGAUUCUGGCACAUCUUUCCCUUUCUUUAUCCCUAAUGGAGAAAUUUUCCUUAGAAUGACAAUAUCAUAAGCUAAAGCCGCCGCAGUAGCACCAAUAGGCAAUUUCAAAAAAUUCAAUUGGCGAUGGUGCCUAGGAUUGGUGAAUGAGCUUGUCAAGUUUCAAACAUAUCAUACAAUAUUAAAUUUUUUUAAUUACAAAUCUAAUGAUUCAACUUUUUCUUUUAAGGUAGUGUUUAGUGUUUACUUGCUGGAGUGGGAGUGUGGAGUGUGGAUUCCUUCCACUCCAGUGUUUACUUACUUUAAAAAAUGGGGGAGUGGGAGUGGGAAUCCGUGGGUCCCACUCAAUUUUGGAGUGGGGAGUGGGAUUCCCACUGNNNNNNNNNNNNNNNNNNNNNNNNNNNNNNNNNNNNNNNNNNNNNNNNNNNNNNNNNNNNNNNNNNNNNNNNNNNNNNNNNNNNNNNNNNNNNNNNNNNNNNNNNNNNNNNNNNNNNNNNNNNNNNNNNNNNNNNNNNNNNNNNNNNNNNNNNNNNNNNNNNNNNNNNNNNNNNNNNNNNNNNNNNNNNNNNNNNNNNNNNNNNNNNNNNNNNNNNNNNNNNNNNNNNNNNNNNNNNNNNNNNNNNNNNNNNNNNNNNNNNNNNNGGAUUCUGAUUGACAAUCCAUACUUUCAUUUAGUCUAAGUAAACACCCUACUCCCACUCCCACUCCACACUCCUAAUCCAAGGAUUCCCACUCCUUAGGAUUCCCACUCCAAUCCAAAAAGUAAACGCAGCAUAAGUCUCUUGACUUGGAUCUCUUGUUUCUCUUAUCAUUAGCAGCUACAAAAAAAGAAUAAUAAUAUCAAUAAUUUUAAAUGACAUGAUACAAAUAAAAAAAAAUUAAAAUAUGGCUAGAUAAAAUAUCAGGAAUAACGUUAGAGCUUGAAUUAGACAAUGAAUUAGUUGGUGCAGCUAAUUCAUAAUGUGUUUGUGCUGCUGCAACUGAACAUGAUCGGCGAGAACCUCCAAGAGCCAUGAUCCAGUAUCCUACAAUUUAACAAAACAUAAUUAAAUCAUCCAUAAUUUUUUUUAAAUACAAAUAUAUACUAACAUAAACAAACAAUAAUAAUAUCAAUAAUUUCUAUGAUUAAUCAUUUAAUGCUGAUGAACCAUUAUUUCAGGGAGUUGAUUCCUUAUAUUUUAUUGUUUUUCUAUAGUUUGUUAUACUUAUACAAAGUCUAGGUUAUACUAAAUAUAUUUAGUGAUCGUUUUACAGUAUUAAAAAAAAUCAACAGUACAUAUAAGCUAUUAGUUAUUAAAGUAUAAAUAUUAAAAAGUCAAUCGUACAUGGCCCAUGAAACUAUUAAUUAUUAAAAUACUAAAUCAACAUAAUAAUGAAAGCAGAAUAUAAUAUAAAACAAAAAAAUAACCAAACCUUGGUAAAUGGAGGAUGGAAAAUCCUUAGGAAAACUUGAUGGAUGAGAAAAAGGAGCAAAAGUUGCUAGAUGAAAAUCCCCACACAAAAAUUGCAAUAUGAUAUAAGUCAAUAAGUGUACUUGCUCUUUCAAUCAUAAUGGCUCAUGAAACAAUUAAUCAUAUUAAUCAUUAAAAUAUUAGAUCACUGCUCAUGAAACAAUUAAUCAUUAAAAUAUUAGAUCACUAUAAUAAUGAAUGCAAAAUAUUAUAUUAAAAUAAUAUAAAACAAAAAAAAUAAAGAAACCUUGCUGAGUGGAGAAGGGAGAAUCCCAGGAAAACUUGAUGGAUGAGAAAAAGGAGGAAAAGCUAUUGGAAGAAAAUCCCUAAACAAAAAUUGCAAUAAAAAAUAUAUAUGUCAGUAAGUGUACUUGCUAUUUCAAGGGAGAAAAAAAAAAAGAAAGGCGCACAGUUGUAGUACAAAUAAAAUAAACUAAAAAUAAAAUAACCUAAUAGAAACCUUAGGAAAAAAAUUGUCACUUUGUUUCUUUGAAAAUCAUGAAACACAGAGAUAGUGAAGAAGUGGUUGGGUGUGGAAGUAAUUUGUGACGAAAACCUUAUAAAGUAGGGUUUAAAGAUGUGAUUAAAGCAAGAUUUUCCUAGGUGACAUAAACUAGUACAUGUGACAAUUUAUGAAAGGCUGUCAUAAUAGAUGUGUGUUACAAAACAAAUUAAUAAAUUGAUGUGGUGGGACAUCUAUCUCAUGCCGCUAAAAUUAAGUCUUUUAACUAAUCAAAUUUAACUAAAAAAAAUAAACCUCACAAUUUGUAAAAUAAUAAUUAAUUUUUAUUUUUCCAAUGCAACUUUUGUGCAAAAAAGGAAAAAAAAAAGAACUUGUCCUUUUGCGACUAAAAUAAUGUGCAUUAAAAGACUUGAAUUAGAGACUAAGCAAGGCGUCACAAAAUAAAUUACUUGGUCAUAAAAAUACAACGUUAUUCAAGACAAACUUUUAGUUACUAUUUUUAGUUUUAUCACCAUAGUGACUCAUCUAUGACCAAAAAAUAAGGUCUUAAAUUAUAAGAAAUCAUAAUAGCUUUAGAGACUAAUUUCAAUAGUCAUUGAUGGUUUGCCUAAAUUUACAUUUGUUUUUUUAGUUAUAUUUCGUGACCAUUUAUUCUAUCAUGAAUGAUAAAAUAUUGUUCUAAAAUGUUCAUUUUUUCAAGGAGAUUUUUGUGCCUAAAUUUUUUUUUUCGACUACAAUAUAUUCAUCACAAGAACAUUGAAUCAUAUACCAAAUAGUGUGUCCCAUGAAAAAAAAUAACUUGGUCACAAAAGUAUAGUGUUUUUUAAGACAACUUUUAGUUACUACUUUUAGUUUUGUCACUAUAAUUACUCAUCCAGGACCAAAAAAUGGGGUCUUAAAACUAUAAGAAAUAAGAAUAACUUUAGGGACUAAUAUAUGUGUCACGGAUAGUUUGGUUAAAUUUACAAUUAGUUUUUAGUUAUGAAAUAGUGUCGUCGCCUAUACUUACAUUUUGCAACCAUUUCUUUUGUCAUAAAUGAUGAAACAUUGUCCCAAAAUAUUUCAAAUUUGGAGGGAAAUUUUUGCGCUAAAAUAAUAUGUUUUUCAACGACUAAAAUAAUAUUUGUCACAAAAACAUUGAAUUAGAUGCCAAAUAUUAUGUUCCAAAAUAAAAUUAUUGGUCACAAGAUAUAACACAAGUCAAGACAAAAUUAUUAGAUAUGAUUUCAUAAAUUCAUCACAAUAAAUGUCAUUUCAUGACCAAUUUCAAAGCGUUGUAAAAAAUAUUGUCUUAAAAAGUCAAAUUUCUUGUAGUCGCUUUGAUCAAAAUCAUUGAUGCUGCAUUAGUCCUACACUUGCUUCUCUCUACAAGUUCAACCCCAUUCAUUUGAUUCAUUUUCCUCCAUUUCCCCUGCCUUGCUUUCACUCUAUCACUGUCACUAUGAGUGCCUAAGUGGUUUCUUUCUGUUAGAGGGUUUUAUUAAAGUGAAAUCGAUGAAAUAUCACUUGAUAAUUACAUAUGUAUGCAUGUAUGUAUGUAUGUCUAUAUAUAUGUAUACACACACACAUGGCUAGUGUACGUCGAGACACAACACAUAAGUAUAUACAUGCCAAGUGCAUGCCUAGAGGCACAAACACUAGUUUGAGUGCGUGUGUGUAUAUUAGGCCCAUAACGAGUCUGAUUUACUAUUUUAAAUAUUUUAACUUUGUACUCCUCUUUAACAUAUAUAAUUAUAGUUAAUAUUUAACAUAUUGACUUUAUUAUUUUAAUAUUUCUUUAUCUCCUAGUUUGACUCUUUCUUAAUGUAAUUAGUUUGUAUUUGAAUUAUAUUCUUAUGUUAUGUUUUUCAGUAUUUUAAGGGGUUUUAGUUUCUUCAGUUUCUUCUAGUACUUGUAUUGUAUCUUCAGUUAAUGGAAUGACGUGAAUUCUCCACCAAAUACUCUCUUGUAUGGUAUCAGAGCUUCUUCUUCUUUGUUUCUAACAAACCAAAUAACCAAUCAAAACAAUCCCACCAACACUUCGAAUCAAGCAAUCACCACUGCCACUUCGGUAAAUUCAACCACUCUUCACACUAAUGAAUUUCAAUUGAUUACCAUAAAAAUAUCCACUCAAGCUCCACUUAAACUCACCACUAACAAUUAUGUUUCUUGAAAACUUCAGUUUCAAACUCUAUUUCAUUGGAUACGAUCUUUUAGGUUAUGUAGAUGGCUCCAAAUCUUGUCCACCUGAAACUCUAAUAGUAAAUAAUGCAAUUGUUAUGAAAAUCAAUGAAUUCUAAUAUUUGUAAAAUUUCACCAAGUAAAAAGUCCAGAAGCUAAAUUCUCCAACCACCAAGAAAUUUUUCUAUAGCCACAAAACUACAAAGAAGAUUAAGGAAAGUCCCCUUGUAAGGAAGGCCCACCACUAAUAAAUAAAAGCCAAAUUUAACUAAAAAAUUCAAGCCACCAAGUUUGACAAUAAUCUACAACAAGCCAAUUUAAUUCAACUGUCCAAUAGCUUCAGUUUUCCUCAGUUCAACAACUCUUUGAACAAUCCAAUUAAUAAAUGUAGAAGCUGCAAAACAAUAGUUAAUAGACACAAACACAGAAAGUGAUGAAAUUAGAAAGCCAAGGCGUGACAAUGAAGCACUGUCCUUAAAGAACAGAUUCUGCCCCUUCUCGAAUAAGUUUUCGGCUGCGUGAAGGAGUCUAAGACAAUAUGAUCUUCUAGGAUUCAAUGGCGUUCCAACUGUAAUGGCGCACUCCAAACUACAGUUGAUUCUAACAAUUGAUUUAAUUUGAUCUUCCAGGUAAAGUGUGUAGCUUUAAUGAAGAUGGAGAGGAUGAUAAGAAUUUUUUUUCCUUGCACACUCAAAUCAGUCACAACAGCUGGCAUUUUUAUAGUCUUAAAUGACAACAACCAUCUCCUUGAAUUUUGCCAUGAAUCAGUGCAUGAACUGAUUUAAAAACCAGAUAUCAAGCAACUAAGGUGAUAAAACAAAGCCACAACCUAUGACAUGUAAAUAUGCUCAGCUUGAACAAUUCAAAUCAGUUUAAAACUGAUUUUUCAAUCCAAAGUAAUGAAUAUAUAAGCUUUGAUCAAGUGGCUAGGAAAUGGGCCAAGCCCGUGAAGGCUAUAUGUGCAUUAUUAAUUUUUGUAUUUUGAAAUAUCUCACAAUUUCCAACAAUCCCCCACAUGUUUCAAAAUACACAUAUGGCGCUUGUAAACACUUUAGCAGAAAAUUAGAAUUUAAUGCUCAUGAGUUGGUGCCUUUCGGGCUAUGAACCAAUCAUUGAACAACUAAUCGUAUCUCAUAGGAAUUUUGUGAAACAUAUAAUCUCUAUGAACUAAAAUUCCUAUUUUGUGAGUUCGAGGAUUAGAAGGUUGCACUAAAUUCUCUCUAGGCAUUGUUGUUUAGUAGUUUGGCACUUUAAUGGCCUUGUGCCAUCCUGGUUUUCAUGAGUGCUCUAGAGAUACCUGUCUAGCUCUCAUAGGAAUCGACCCAAUUCCACACUCAUAUAGGUAAACCUCCAUCAAGUGUGUCAUGUAGUUUAGACAUACCACCAUACAGAAAGUAGGCUAUAGAGUUCAUUAAGAGCAUAAUAACUCAACCUAAAUCACUCUAAUUAGAAAUUAUCUCGCCAUAGGGAUGACUCAAAUAAUUAAAUUGAUAGUGCCAUCAGACAACAAGUGAUUUGUUAUUACCCUUAUGAACGUACUUUAUGGGAUCUCCAAUCACAUAAGUAGGGUGACCAUCACUCUUGCCUUCUAUUCUAGACAAGAGUCUCAUCCUCUUCGACGUAUUUACCACUAAACUUCUGUUUAGUGGUUUUGUCAGAGGGUAGGCCAAAUCCGAUGCUGACCUCACAAAAUUUAGGCUCACUUUUGAGUGUUAAAAAAUAUAUAUUUAUAAAGGAGAAAAUCGUCAUUUUACACUCCAAGUCUCACUAACAUCCAUACUUUUAUGUAUUUAAAUCUCUUUUAAUUUAAUUAUGUGUGUUUUAUUAUAACUAUAUAUUUUAUUUAAGUUAGGGGGCAUCAUGGUCAUUUCACAAUGAACAAGAGAUCAGAUAGCAAAACGAACAUCAAUUUUGAACUUAGGAUAGUCAAAAACUUUAAGCAGAACGUAAAAGGAUAAAUGACAUUAUUCACAUAUACAGUAUGAUGAUGUGGCAUUGACCGAUGACGUGGCACCGACCGAUGAUGUGGAGCAUUCGAUUGGACGAAUAAUGUGGCAUUGACUGAUGAGUUUGCAUUGACUGAUGAUGUGUUGCCAUCCUAUUGGACUAAAAUGAUUAUGUAGAGUUCACCGGUGAUAUGGCAGUAUGUCAGUGGACCAAAAAACGUGCGUACGAUACAUGCAUUAUACUGAAUGACAUCCCUAAUGAUGUGUUCUAUCCAAUCAUAACUUGCCACGUGGCACAAUCCUGAGCGUCUAAAUUGUUUUAAUCUGAUGGCCAUGAUUUACUCAUUGUAUUUGUAAAAAAAGGGCUCCCCCUUAAUUCAAUACCCAUGAAUUCAUUUUUUAACACCAUUUUUUAUAAUUCCUUCUCCAUCUUGUAUUUUUUACAUAUUUUAAUAAAUUUUCAUUUUACCCCUAGUUCAAUUAUGAGUAGCUAAUUUUUCUUUCAAGUUUGGGUUGAAGGUGAAAUCUAACACAUUCCAUGGGCUUUAUUUGGUAAAUUUACUUUCUCUUCCCUUCUGAUUUUUGUGGAUGUUUUGACGUUUUGUCGAUGGAUAAUAAUAAUCUUGUCUAGAUACUGCAUUGGUAUAACCGGCUCCCUAGUGCAAGAUUAUUACUAUUUGACACGACAAGCCCUUAGCACCAUAUUGAUUAGAGUGUGGUUCAUGAGGAGUGAAAACCCCCCUCAUGAUUUAAUUGGCACUAAUAAGGAAUAUUAAGCCCAUGGUGCAUGUUGGUGCAGAUCCAGAUACCUAAAUGCUUCAUUUUAAUAUAUUUCACUUCAAUUUAUUCACAUCAUUUUAAUUUAAAUUUUAGGAUAAUCUAAAUCACUUCCACAACAAAUCCAAUCACUCACUUAAAAAAUUAAUUCUACACAUAAUUAAAAUUCACCUUCUCGUAUGAUCGACACUCGUCACCAUUGAUCUAUUCUACAAUAGAUUCGUGUACUUGCGAGUUCAAUAAAAUUAACACAACAAGUUUUUGGCCCUGUUGCUGGGAGGUAAGUUAUUUUAAUUCAUAGAAUUAAUUUUGGUAAAUAAUUUAUUUUAGUUGUUUUCUUGUAAUUUUUUUCUUAUUUAGAAAAAGAAAAAAAAUGAAUCUGCAUUUUGAGGUAAGAAUUUCUUUUAUUUUUCUUCUCUUUAGAUUUCUGUAAUUUAAUUUUAAAGUUAUUUUUCUUCGUAAUUUUUCGUUUAUCUUAUGAAUUUAUUUUAAUUUUAGUUAAUUUAUUUCACGUAUUUUUUUAAGUGUGUUUUCAAAGUAAGGUUAUAACAGCAUGAUCAGGUUAGUAUCAUAAUUUCUCCUUCUUCUUUAUUUUUAUUUAUUUUGUUCUCAUUUUUUGUGUUCUUUACAUUCAUGGUCGAAGGUCACAAUUACCUAAUCUUGACCUCAUAGACUUUGAACUCGAAAAAAUACUUCGCACACACAAACAAGUUGCAAUAAAAAAAUAAAAUUGAAAUGGAUUUGCAAUAACAACAACAACAACAACAACCACAAGAGAGGCCAUUUAAGGAUUAUUUUAGUCCUUUUUCUAAUUUGAGCACAUCAUGUAAAAUAUACCCAAAUAUAGUUGCUAAGAGUUUUGAGUUAAAACCUAGUAUGCUAAAUUGUCUCCCAACAUUCUAUAGCCUAGAAAAUGAAGACUCAUAUAAUCAUCUGAAUGAUUUUCAUGCUGUUUGUCAAACUUUUAAAUAUGAGAAUUUUUUAGAUGAUGAUGUUAAACUUAUAUUAUUCCCAUUUUCUUUAAAGGAUAGAAUUCAUUCAUGAUUCAAUACAUUACCUGCGAAUAACAUUACAUUAUGGGAAUAAAUGGUAACAAAAUUUUUGAAUAAAUACUUCGCAGUGCAUAAAAUCAAUGCUAUUCGCAAGGAAAUCUCAGAUUUUACCCAGAGAGAAGACGAACAGUUUUUCUAAGCAUGGGAGCGAUUCAAUGGGCUACUCUUAAAGUGUCCACAUCAUAGGUAUGAGAAAUGGCACCAAUGCCAAUAUUUUUUGGAGGGAUUAUUACCGCAUGUGUAAGAAUGGCUAAUGGCAACAAGUGGAGGAGAGCUAAUGUCAAAAAGUACAUUAGAGAUUUGGGAUUUGUUCCUACGACAAGCAGAUAAUUAUCAACAACGGAGUCGAUUACUCAAGAAUACUAAAAGAAUUCAGGGAGUGAAUGAGGUUUACAUUGGCGAGUCAAGUUCGAAAAUUAAAGAAGUCAAAAAGCUAGUUGAAGGUCUUUCUUGACAAAUAGCAUCGGUAAUGACUGUUAAAUCAACAAAACCACAUGACCAUGACUCAUACUCAGAUCAAGCUAUUGUCAUAGGUGUAAUGAGAAAGCCAUCAAACUACAACCUUUACUCCAACACAUAUAAUCAUGGAUGGAGAGACCAUCCCAAUUUUUUAUGGUCUAAAGGAUUCCAAUAGAAUAGACCAGCAGCUCCAGCUCCACCAAUGCAACUAAUUCCUCAAGUUCCUCAAGCCUCUCAGCCACCAUUUAGACCAUACAAUCAGAACCCGAAUUACUCUCAACCCAAACCAUGGAAGGAUGCAUUCCAAAAUUUCAAGAAUCUUACUCACUCCACAAUCAAGUACCAGAACCGCACUAUUGAUGAACUACGAAAUGAGAUGAGUGCAGGCUUUAGCUCACAAGCCCAAUCAGUUUCAAACCUCGAGAAGAUGGUGGGACAACUUGCCUCUUCAGUUCAAACUUUGGCAAUGACUGUUGAGAAAGGUAAAUUCCCAAGUCAGCUAGUGCCUAAUCCUGAAAGAGUGCAUGAACCAAGUACCAGUUCACCACAAUAGCAUGGAGAGGUCAAAGCCAUCAUGACCUUGCAAAAAGGAAAAGAAGUCGACAACAAAGUGGAGAUGCCAGUGACAAAAACAACUCAAAUUGUACAUAUGAAUGCUAAGGACUCACUAUCGGAGGAGAAAGAAGAAAUCAACCCACGAGAAGAUGUUCCUAAAGCUCCAUUUCCUCAAAGGUUAGCUAACGGAAAGAAUGAAAAAUCCACAGGUGAGAUUUUUUAGAUCUUCAAAUAAGUAAGUGUUAACAUUUCUUUACUUGAUGCUAUAAAACAAGUGUUAUUUUAUGCUAAGUUUCUUAAAGACCUUUGUACUAAAAAAAAAAACAUUCACGUUCAAAAGAAGGUCUUUUCAACAGAAAACGUUAGUUCUAUACUCCAACACAAAAUUCCUCUAAAAUACAAAGACCUAGGCUCCCCCAUUAUCUUAUGUAGUAUAGGGAACCACAUAAUUGAUAAUGCUUUGUUGGAUUUAGGAGCUAGUGUAAAUUUGUUACUCUACUCAGUAUUUGUAAAAUUUAGACUAAGAGAAUUACAAACAACUCCAGUAGUGUUACAACUUGCAAAUCGGUCCACGAAAAUACCUCAUGAUAUUGUGGAGGACGUGCUUAUUCAGAUAGAUAAGUUUUAUUUUCCUGUUGAUUUCAUUGUAAUUGACACUCAACUAGACUAGGAUUCAAGGAAGCACAUCCCCAUUAUCCUAAGUCGACUUUUCUUAGCAACUAUCGAUGCUCACAUUCAAUGUAGGACUGGAAAUAUGCAGUUGUCCUUUGGCAACAUAACUAUGGAGCUAAAUAUCUUCAACAUUACCAAACAAUCUCACAAUACAGAUGAUGGAAUUGUUGAUGUGGAUUUAGUAGAAGAAAUAAUUAAUAAUACUUUUCUUUCAAACCUUAGUGAUGACCCUUUAUAAACAUGUUUAACUCAUUUUGAUUUGAAUUUUGAUAUUGAUAGAUCAGUCGAUGAAGUCAACGCCUUACUUGAUUCAACACCAUCCAUGGACACUAAUAAAUAGAAGUCAAGAGUUGAACAACUAGCACUAUCAGAGAAGAAACUCAGCCCAUCAUCAUAAUCACCACUAAAAUUUGAGCUCAAAGCAUUACCUAACACUUUAGAAUAUGCAUUCUUGGAUGAAGAAAGCACUCUGCCAGUAAUCAUCUCAUCAUCCCUAAAUGAUGAACAAAAAAGUAAGUUGUUGGAAGUUUUAAAAGAGCACAAAGCAGCAUUAGGAUGGAACAUAGGCGACAUAAAAUAUAUAAACCCAAUAGACUGCUGCAUUACAUUCACCUUGAUGAAAAUUCUAAACCUACUAGGAAAAUGCAACAUCGGUUAAAACCUAACAAGAAACAAGUUGUUAGAAUUGAAGUCCUAAAACUAUUAGACGCAGGCAUCAUUCAGUCCUAUGCAAGUUGUCCCCAAAACGUCAGGAGUCACAGUAGUUACCAAUGCUGAUAAUGAAUUGAUACCCAUUAGAGUGACUACAGGGUGGAGUGUAUGCAUUGAUUAUAGAAAGUUGAAUUUUGUCACAUGUAAAGACUAUUUUCCUUUACCAUUUAUCGAUCAAAUACUUGAUAGAUUAGCAGGUCAUAAUUUUUUUUACUUUCUAGAUGGUUACUCAGGAUAUAAUCAGAUUCCCAUAGCACUAAAAGAUCAAGAGAAUACCACUUUCACUUGUCCUUUUGGCACUUUUGCAUAUAGGAGAAUGCUAUUUGGAUUAUGUAAUGCACCUGCUACAUUUCAACGAUGCAUGUUAAACAUUUUUUCUAAUAUGGUUAAAUGAUUCCUUGAAGUCUUUAUGGAUGACUUUUCUAUUUUUAGUGAUUCAUUCGAUCAAUGUUUACAUCAUCUAAUACUAGUUCUGUAAAGAUGUAUAGAGAAGAACUUGAUCUUAAAUUGAGAGAAGUGUCAUUUUAUGGUAAAAUAAGGUAUUGUUCUUGAUCACAUCAUUUCGAGCAAAGGUACUGAGGUUAAUAAGGCCUAGGUGGAUCUCAUUUCCAAUCUUCCUUCACCUAAAACAGUCAGAGAAGUAAGAUUUUUCCUUGGGCAUGCUGAUUUUCAUAGACGUUUCAUUAAAGAUUUUAGCAAAGUUUUUAGACUCUUAUGCAAUCUACUUGCUAAGGAUGUACCUUUUGUCUUUAAUGAUUCAUGUCUUGUGGCAUUUAAAAAACUAAAACAGUUGUUGACAUCAUCACCCAUCAUUUAGCCCUCAAACUGGAACUUACCAUUUGAGCUCAUAUGUGAUGCAUCUGAUUAUGUAGUAGGAGCAAUAUUAAGACAAAGAGUUGAUCGAAUUCCCUAUUUUAUUUACUAUGCUAGUAUGACAUUGAAUGAUGUAUAGUUGAACUAUUCAACCACUGAAAAAGAAAUGCUAGCAGUAGUGUUUACAUUAGAGAAAUUUCGAUCUUAUCUCAUUGGUUGUAAAAUAAUUGUAUCUACAGAUCAUAUUGUUCUUAAAUAUCUUCUCACAAAGAAAGAUGCAAAAGCUAGACUAAUUCGUUGGUUGUUACUUUUGCAUAAUUUAACUUGGAAUUCAAAGAUAAGAAAGACACGGAACAUGUUGUGGUCACUAUUUGGCACGAUAAGCCCUUAGCACCAUAUUGAUUAGAGUGUGGUUCAUAAGGAGUGGAAACUCCCCUCAUGAUUAAUUGGCACUAAUAAAGAAUAUUAAGCCCAUGGUGCAUGUUGAUGCAGAUCCAGAUAUCUAAGCAUUUCAUAUUAAUAGAUUUCACUUCAAUUUAUUCCUGCAAUUUUAAUUUUAAUUUUAAGAUAAUCUAAAUCACUUACACCACAAAUCCAAUCACCCACUUAGAAAAUUAAUUCUACACAUAAUUAAAAUCCACCUCCUCGUGGGAUCGACACUCAUCACUAUUGAUUUAUUCUAUAAUAGAUUCGUGCACUUGCGAGUUCAAUAAAAUUUGCACAACACUCACUACCUUAGAUUCUAACAGUUGUUUUACAAUAUUGUGUUUUAGACGUAUGUGUUUGCUUUUCCCAUUAUAAACCUUACUUUUUGCCUUAACAAUAGGCGCAUGACAAUCACAGUGUAUAGACACUGAAGUAAGAGGGUGAGCAAAAAUGAGAAGAUCUGCCAAAAGGUUUCUUAACCACUCAGGCUCAAUACAUGCCUUUUUUAAGGCAAUUAGCUCAGACUUCAUGGUAGAACGAGCUAUACAUGUUUGCUUGGAGGAUUUCCAAGACACAACGCCUCCACCUAAAGUAAAUAUAUAACCACUAGUGGAUUUGAUUUCAUCGGACCCUAAAAUCCAAUUUGCAUCGCUAUACCCUUCUAACACUGAUGGAGCAUUGUCAUAAUUAAGUCCAUAAUCAAUGUUGUCUCUCAAAUGCCUUGCAAGUCUAUCUAUGGCAGCCCAAUGAUCCUUACUCGAAUUUUGAGUAUAUCUACUCAAUCUGCCUACAGCAUAAGUAAUGUUAGGUCUUGUACUAUUCAUUAAGUUCAUUAGGCUACCAAUGAUUUGGGCUAUCUUAAUUGAUUAAUACUAUGAUCUAGAUUUUUCUUAAGGUGGGUAUUUGCAUCGUAGGGUGUAGAGACUGAUUUUCCAUUAUAAUACCCAAACCUUUUCAACAUUUUCUCAACAUAGUGUUCCUGUGAUAACUUAAGACCAUCACUAGUGAACUCGUAAGUGCACGAAUCUAUUGUAGAAUAGAUUAAUGGUGACGAGUGUCGAUCUCACGAGAAGGUGGAUUUUAAUUAUAUGGAGAAUUAAUUUUCUAUGAGGGUGGUUGGAUUUAUGGUGGAAGUGAUUUAGAUUAUCCUAAAAUUCAAAUUAAAAUGACGGGAAUAAAUCGAAGUGAAAAUCUAUUAAAAUGACGUACUUGGAUAUCUGGAUCUGCAUCAACAUGCACCAUGGGCGAAACAUUUCUUAUUAAUGCUAAUUAAAUUAUGAGGGGGAUUUCCACAUUUCAUGAACCACACUCUAAUCAAUAUGGUGUUAAGGGCUUAUCGUGCCAAAUAAUAAUAACCUUGUACUAGGGAGUCGGUGAAACCAUGGCCGUAUCUAGACAAGAUUAUUACUAUUUGUCGACGAAAAGUCAUAACAUUCACAAUAAUUAGAGGUGAAGAGAAAGUAAAUGUACCAAAUAAAGCCCAUGAAACAUGUUGAGACUUCACCUUCAACCCAAGCUUGAAAGAAAAUUAGCUACUCAUAAUUGAAUUAGGGGCAAAAUGAAAAUUUAUUAAAAUACAUAGAAAAUACAAGAUGGAGAAGGAAUUAUAGAAAAUUGAACUAAAACAUAAAUUCAGGGAUGCCAAAUUAAGGGGGAGAGCCCCCUUUUUAUAGAUGUACUGAGUAAAUCAUGGUCAUCGAAUUAAAAACAUUUGAACGCUCAGGAUUGCGCCAUGUCAUCAGUCAACAAUACACGGUUUGAUUACGCGGUUUGAAUAGUAAUACGGUUUGACCACGCGGUUUAAACAGUCAAGCGGCUUAAAUAGCGACGCAGUUUGGUUGUAAAUAAUCCCGUGAAUAUGUACACACAAUUUUUGGUCCACUGACAUGCUGCCACGUCACCGAUCAACAGUACAUAAGAAUUUUAGUCCAAUAGGAUCGUGACACCUCAUCAGUCAAUGUCACAUCAUCGGUCAAUACCACGUUAUCGUUCCGUAUAUGUGAACAGUGUCAUGAACAGUAAACCUCCCUUAAUAAAGGACAUAGGCUCACCGACCGAAACAACAAGGAUGAACAAAGGAAUGAGCGCCGCUUGCACCCAAUCAGUGGUCAUAGGCCAGCCAAGGUCGGGUAAGGCAGGAGUAUCGAAUUACCUACCUGCUAAUGAAGAAGCAGUGCAUGCAUAAGGUGACCACGCUAGUACCAAUAUAGGCUAAAAAGCUUUAGGAUGCAAGCACGUCCUAUGUGUAAAGUAGUCCUGGCCCUGGGGGUUUCAAUCAUGGAAGGAUACACAUCCCAAACAUAGAACAUGGACAGUACCGUACAUAUGAACAAUGUCAUUUUUCCUUUUAUGCUCCUCCUAAGGUUUUCGACUGUCCUAAGUUUAAAAGUGAUGUCCGUUUUGUUGUCUGAUCUCUCGUUUAUUGUCAAAUGACCAUGAUGCCCCUAAAAUACAUAAAAUACUUAAUUAAAAUAAAACACACAUAAUUAAAUCAUACGAGACUUAAAUACAUAAAAGAAAGAGUGUUAGUAAGACUUGAAAUGUAAAAUGACGAUUUUUUCAUUUAUAAAUAUACACUUUCUAACACUCAACAACUAGUCUUAGUGAUUUUUAUGCUUAAUAUAACAUCUGCUUCUCCCAUAUCCUUCAUAUCGAAGUUAGAAGCAAGCAUCCUUUUAGUCUCAUUUAUCGUUCCUAAAUUGAGACUUAGGAUGAGCAUGUCGUCAAUAUAGAGACAAAUGACCACAUAAGUAGUAGUGUCAAUGGAUUUAAAAUAGAUACAUUUAUAUGAAUCAUUAAUCACAUAUCCAUUUGAUACUAAUACUUGAUCAAAUUUCUCAUGUCAUUGUUUUGGUGCCUAUUUUAAGCCAUAUAAUGACUUAACUAACUUACAUACCUUAUGCUCAGCGGCUGAUACUAUACAACCCUCAGGUUGACUCGUGUAGAUUUCUUCAUCGAGAACUCCCUUUAAAAAGGCAGUUUUAACAUCCAUUUGAUGAAUAUAUAAAUUAUAAAUUUCAGCAAGUGCAAUUAAAACUCUAAUGGAUUUAAUUCAAUUGUCUAGUAGCUUUACUUUUCCUCAGUAGCUUCACUUUUCCUUAGUUCAACAACUCUUUGAACAAUCCAAUUAAUAAAUGUAGACGCUACAAAACAAUAGUUAAUAGACACAAACACAGAAAGUGAUGAAAUUAGAAAGCCAAGGCGUGCCAAUAAAGCAUUGUCCUUAAAGAACAAAUUAUGCCCCUUCUCGGAUAAUUUUCUGGGUGUGUAAAAGAGUUGAAGACAGUCUGAUCUUUCAGGAUUCAAUGGCAUUCCAGUGGUAAUGGCGCACUCCAAAUUACAAUUAAUUCUAACAGCUGAUUUAAUUUGAUUUUCUAGGUAAAGUGUGUAGCUUUAAUGAAGAUGAAGAGGAUGAUAAGAAUUAUUUUUUUCCUUGCACACUCAAAUCAGUCACAGCAGCUGGCUUUUAAUAGCCUUGAAUUACAACAGUCAUCUCCUUGAUUUUUGGCAUGAACCAGUGCAUGAACUGAUUUAAAAACCGGAUAUCAAGCAACUAAGGUGUUAAAACAAAGCCACGCCCUCUGACAUGUAGAUAUGCUUAGUUUGAACAAUUCAAAACAGUUUAAAACUAAUUUUUCAAUCCAAAGUAAUGAAUAUAUAAGCUUUCAUCCAGUGGCUAGGAAAUGGCCCAAGCCCGUGAAAGCUAUAUGUGCAUUAUUAAUUUUUGUAUUUUGAAAUACUUCACAAUUUCCAGCAAAAUGCAACAACACCUAACUCCAGCCUACAAUAUUUGGAUUCGUCAAGAUCAGCUCAUCCUAAAUGCCCUUGUUGGCUUUCUCUCUCCCACAAUUAUUCCUUUUGCUGCCAGAGCCAAGACUUCACAGGAAGCAUGGUCCAUACUUGCCAAUACCUAUGCCACACCCUCUCGUGGAAGGAUUAAGCAAGUAAAAAAUAUUCUAAAAAAUUAAACCAAAAGUGCCUCAAAUAUUACUGACUUUCUUCAAUCUGUUAAAUCUCAUUCAGAUGAAGUUAACCUCCAUGCUAAUUGCCCCGCAACAAGUCUGAUUUAGUUUUUAAAAUAUUGGUAACUUUGUACUCUUCUUUUAUUUAACAUGUUUAUUAAUUAUCAUGAUUGAUGGUUCUCUAGGGGGGGAUUAUUAAAACCAUAACUAAAUUGCUUCUAAUUUUAUUGUGCUAAUAAGUAAUAAUCCCACCCUAUAUAUUUAAUAGGACCCCCGAUAUAAGAGUGAGAGAGAGAUAGAGUGCAAGGCACAAACACACACAUAUAUAGAAAUUCUCAGAUGCAGGGCGUCAAAAUUAUUUUUUUUUCAUGCGAACAUACCAUUAAAUCAUAUGGUUUAAUAGUGCAUAUGCAUUAACUCUAUUAAACCAUAUGAUUUAAUAACAUGUGUGUGUGUGUUUCAAUCAGAAAUUUUAAAAUACAGAAAAGUCUGAGAAAAUGCAUAAAUCGUGCAAUUUGAGCACUUUAAGUUUUAAACUUUUAAACCCCAUUGUUUUAAAGCUUUCCACGACUUUUUCCACACUUUAAGAUCCUGAACCAAAAAAUAUGUGUAAUUAAGAUAUAUUCAUAUAUUAUAAAUCAUAAAUAUUAAAUCAUUUUAGUGACUUAAGUCGUAAAACAAGACUUUAAAGUACCAUAUCACUAUUAAUUAAUAGACUUACCUCAAGUAAGUUAAUCAACCAUAUGUUCAGAUAAUAAAUUAAUGACAACACAUUUACCAAAAUAGAGACAAUAAAAAAACAUUAACUACAUCAUUCAUAAGAGAUCCAGUACCUACCCAUUAUACACUUGGAAAUAAAAAAAGGGAUAUUAUCAUUUUCCCACCAAAGGUAUUCUGACACAUCAUGUUAGUACCAUGGUUUGGUAAAACUAUGAUUUUACCACUAAAUGUUUAAACUGUUAACAUUUUUCCACCAUUCCGUUAACUGAAUAAAAAUUAUGCUGAGGUCAUAAGGGUAUUUUGGACAUAUCACGUGAGGCGAAAACGUUGCGUUUUGCAAUUGUAAAGAAAGCGGGCAAUUUGGACAUGGAGCCCUAGAAAUCGAAAUCAACCCCCCUCUCUCUCGAUUCUUCUUCCAUCUCUGCCCUCUCUCGCUCAUUGUAACUGACGCAUAUCUCUCUCACUCUCGUAGCAGUGUUCUUCCAUCUCUACUGUCUUCUACUCUGUCCAUUGUAAGUAGGAUUACUACUUGGUUAUUGUUAAUGAAGUUUUACCAUUUUAUUUGUAAUCAUCAAGCUUACAUGCAUUUGCCGUUUUGCUGUAAUUUUGGUUAUUAGGCAUAAUUUUGGUUAUUGUUCGUUACUUUUUACCGAAUUAAAUUGGUUUGAGUUGUGAUUAGCACUUGAAUUUAAUAGAUUAGGAUUAUUAGUUGCCUACUGUUAAUUAAUUUUUGCUUACUGUUAAAUAAUUUUUUAUUUGUAACCAUCAAGCUUACAUGCAUUUGCCGUUUUGUUGAAAUUUUGGUUGUUGGCCAUAAUUUUAGUUAUUUUUCAUUACUUUUUACCUAAUUAAAUUGCUUUGAGUUAUGCUGUAAUUUCAGUUAUUCAAAAUGUUUCCUCGUUUUUAAUCUUGUAGAUGAUGUUACCAUUACAACUACAUUUACUUUACAAAGGUGAAAGACAUCGUAUAGGGUUGAUUGAACCUGAAGAAUAUACCCUGCAGUAGAUGAAGAAUGAAGCAUUGAAGAUUACCAGGGAGAAUGGGUUGACGACUCCUGAAAGUGUGCAGUUAUCGGUUACCAACCCAAGGAACAAGCUUUCGAUUAUUGUAGAUUAUGAGGCAGUCUUGCAGGCUCAGUUCGCUGCACAUGAUUCAAUGGAAGUGGCAGUGUUUGAAGCCACAAUUUUGCCAACCCUACGUCUUGAUUUACCACUUUGUGGGGGUAUUACAAGCGAUGCUACAUAAUUGUGGAGUGCAGUUAUCUGCAGAGCAAAUUACAUGGGUGAAUGAUGGUGGAAAUGAACCACCACCUAGGACUAGAGGCAUACAGGGGCCACCAACAGAGCUGAACGAGAAUGAUGGACAUGAGAAUGAUGAUGAUGAUGUAGUAUAUUCAACUUAUGGGAGUCGUAUAGAUGACACUGAUGAUGAUGAUGCUGAUGACGAUGACCAAAGUGAAGAUAAUGGUGCAGAUAUUAUGGAUGAUGCUAAGGGUUCUAGUUCUGACGAUGAAACAGCUGAAGUAGAUCCUUAGUUGUUAGCAGACACAUCAAAUUCAUAUUAUGAUUUGGGUACCACUCAGUUGAAGGAUUAUAUUGAAGUGCAUGUAUAUAAGCCAGGGCGUAAUGGUAAACAUAGGCUGAUGUUAAGAGAUGUAUUUAAUGAUGUUGAGCAUUUUAGAUAUGUGUUAGGUAAAGUGAUGGUGGAUAAAGGCUUUGAAAUUACAAAGGUGUACAAUGAACCUAGGAGAUUUUACAAAAAAUGCAAGAUUAGUGAGUGUCCAUGGUAUGUGAUGGGAGGUAAAAUAAGGGGCAAGGGUGGAUUUGCAAUCAAAGAGUUGCAAAAGAAGCAUGAAUGUAGACAGACUAGAAAGUCAGUGGCUGUGAACAGUAAAUGGAUAGCAAAGAAAAUUAAGAGUAAAGUUGCUGUAGAUCCUCAUGUGAAGAUUUCUGUUCUUUGUAAGUUUAUGCUGGAGACUUAUGGUGUGCGGAUAGGGGAUUUAAAACUAUAUAGGGCUAGAGAGAGGGCAAGAAAAGACAUUAAUGGAGAUCAUGCGAUGGGAUACGAAGAUUUGUUUCAAUAUGCUGCAGUGAUUCACAAGUAUGAUCCUGGUGCAAUUUGUAAAGUUCUUUGUGAUGUUGUAACUAGGCUUGAGAGAGUGCUCUUUCAGAGAUUCUUUAUAGCAUUUCCAGCUCAAAAAAAUGCCCUUAAUAAUGGCUGUAGGCCAUAUAUCGGGCUAAAAAUCAAAAUAUGGUGGAGUUCUAUUAGCCGCUGUGGGUAUGGAUGCUAAUAAUGGAAUGGUCCCAUUAGCAUUAGCAGUGUGUGAGAUAGAGAAUACUGAAACCUGGUCGUGGUUUUUAGAAAUUCUGCAUUCGUAUUUUGAUAAUGGCUUAGAGCAAAUUACAUUUUGCUCAGAUAGGCAAAAGGGUUUGUUAGGGGCCAUUGAGAUAACAUGGCCUACUGCAUAUCACAAACCAUGUGCUAGGCACAUAUAUGCUAACUUCUGCAAAGAACAUCCUGGUGUUAGUUUGAGAAAUCUGUUUUGGAGGGCUAUCAGUAGCACUAACAAGUUUGAUUACGCUAUUGCAAUGGAAAAGCUCAAAAAAGAGAAGUUAGAGGCAUGGCAGUGGCUGGAGACUGAGCUUGCUGGGUUUACUUGGUCAAGACAUGAGUAUGACAAGAAUUGUAAGGUAGACCGUACAACUAACAACACUUCAAGGUAUUUUAAUAAUUGGAUAUUACCCCAUAGAGAGAAGCCUUGCUUGACCAUGCUUAAAGAAAUUAGAUGCAUGUUCAUGACACUCUUCACAGAAAGGAAAAAAGAAGCACAAUCUUGGACCAACAUUCCACCUAGAGUGAAAAAAGAAUUGGAUGCUACAUAUGAAUGUGGAAGCAAAAUGAAUAUAAUGGCUUCUGGGGAUCUUCACUUUCAAGUAUAAUUCUAACUUAUGUUCCUUAUAAUUAUUUUUUUCCUGAACCCGAAUGUUUGUUAGGUUAAUCAAUUUUUUUUCCUCAACCUUAUAAUUAUUAUUUAAUCAUUAUGUAAUUUUUGUUAAGUUAAAGACAAGGGUUAUUAUCCAGCAAGGAGGUUCAUAGUCGAUCUCAUGAGCAGGUCCUGUGAUUGUGGUUAUUGGGACCUAGCUGGAAUCCCCUAUACUCAUGCUAUGGCUGCAAUUAGUCAUGCUAGACACACGGUAACAGAGUAUCUACCAAAAUACAUCAGCAAAGAGGCGUACUUGAACACAUAUGCAAUGAUGUUCAAGCCAAAUCCCUGAUAAAGUUACAUGGGACCCUUGUGAUAGGCCCAAGCUCUUUCCACAUGAGAUUACCAAGAAGACUGGAAGACCAAAAAAGUCAAGGAAAAGGGCAGCCACUGAGCCAAUAAAAAAAAACAGAUCAUUUUAUAUCUGCUGCUCCUUUUGUGGUGGGAUGAACCACAAUGUCAGGAAAUGUCCAUUAAGGCCAUCAAUAGCAAGAGAAUUAAGAGCCCCGCAGGUAACAGCCACUGAACCUAAUGUUUUAAUUGUUUUUAUGUGUAUUGAAAUUAAUUUUUUAUUGUUAUCUAUGUAAUUUUAAAUAGGGAGUUAGUGGGCCGGGAGAAAGUUCUAAUGCAGCACGUACUUCAAAGAGGACAAAGAAAGUGGUAAUUCGUUUAUUGUUAUUCAUUGAGUAAUUUUUAGUUUGUUAUAAAUAUUGAUGAUUUGAUUAUUUAUAUAUUUCAAUUUAAAUAGGCUGUAGGUGGUUUACAAGAGAGCUUUAUUGCUCAUAGAGGAAGAGGAGGUACUGGUAAUAGAGGAAGAGGAGGGAAUAGAGGCCGAAGGGGCCAAGGGGGUAAUAGAGCAAGAGCAAGAGGUGAUGGAGUAAGAGGACGUAACAGAGGUAUGUUAUUGUUUCAAAAUAAUGUUUGAUGUCUACAAGUAGCUAUUGCUGGUCUUAGAUAAUGAGGUAAUAAUUUUUUUGUCCAGGCCAAUAUGAAGCUAAUAAUGUUUCCCCGAAUCCAACUCAAGGCUCACAAGCUUCACAGAUAUUAGAUGUUGUAUGAAAUAUUACCAUUAAGGUGCUGUUAUGUAUUUUAGAUGCACAAAACUUUAUAUUAGUGCAUUAAGUUGCUGUUAUGUAUUUUGGAUGCACAAACUUUAUAUUAGUGCAUUAAGUUGCUGUUAUGUAUUUUGGAUGCACAAACUUUAUAUUAGUGCAUUAAGUUGCUGUUAUGUAUUUUGGAUGCACAAACUUUAUAUUAGUGCAUUAAGUUGCUGUUAUGUAUUUUGGAUGCACAAACUUUAUAUUAGUGCAUUAAGUUGCUGUUAUGUAUUUUGGAUGCACAAACUUUAUAUUAGUGCAUUAAGUUGCUGUUAUGUAUUUUGGAUGCACAAACUUUAUAUUAGUGCAUUAAGUUGCUGUUAUGUUUUUGGAAUCCACAAACUGUUUUGAUUACUUUCCAGUUGCAAUGAUUGAUUGCUACAAUAUUUUUUCAUAUUUAUUACAUUACUUCCUCAUAAAUAAGCCUAUCACAAUGCCACAAAUAAAAACUAUGAUCAAUUUCAAUUUCACUUCAAUGCAUCGUAGUCGUUCACUUAUCUUCAUCACAUCUUCAUUUAGGUUCAUGCCAUGACCGGAUGUAAUGUUACACAUUUCCAUAUCUUCUUUUGCUGCCCAUUGCCAAAAAUCACACUUUUUAAACUUGCAUGUCCAAAAGAGCUUAUUAGGGUUUUCCGAGGUUGUAGAUACCAUCGCACAUGCCUGCACUCCACAAUUGCAGUAUUUAGGGUAGCAGGUAACUUCAGCAUAUUUCUUAGCUCGAACCCUGGUAUUAACACUUAAGUUACCACUGGAGGCCAUUGUUUUGUUUGAAUUUAUGUGUAAGAAGGCUGAAACUAUGUUUAGUUUUGAGUGGAGAUUAAGAAGAGCUGGAUUUUUUGAGCUUGGAUGAAAUGUAGUGUUUACAGUGGCUUAUUGUUGCUGUCUUUGAAUGAUAAAGUAUGUUUGGUUUUGCUGUCUUUAAGCUGGGCAUGUCAUUUUCUGGGUUGCUGGGGCUCAAAUGGGGUUGCUAGUUGGGGUUGAAAUGGCCUGAUUGCUAGUAAUAAAAUGAGCUUGCUGGUGUUUAAAAAUGGCUUGGGCUUGUUGGUGCAGUGGUAUUAAAAUGUUUACUGUGGCUUGUAGUUGUGCGUUAAAAAUUGAGUUGCUGGGUUGCCAUUUUCUUUCUUUUUCAGCUGGGUUGUUGGUGCUCAAAUGGGGUUGCUGGCCUUUGAUUUGGGGUUGCUGGUUGCUGGUUGAAAUGGCAACCAGUAGCAGCUCUUAUAAGCAUAAAAGUAGCGAUUAUUUGAAUGUAACGGCUACUUUUGGGGUUAUUUUUGUAAUUUAAUCAUCACUUGCUGCUGUUCAUUCUGAAAGGGCAAAAUCGUCUUUUAUGCUCCAGAGGUAAAAUUGACCUUUUAAGAAUUUUCCGUUAAGAAAAUGAGGGUAUUAGGUUGUAAUUUAAUUUUUUUAUAAAAAAAAAAGUGAUUAAUUUCUUGAUUUUUCUGCUGUACGGCCAUGUCAGAAUACCUUUGGUGGGAAAAUGAUAAUAUCCCUAUAUAUAUAUAUUGCAUGAAUUUUCACAAUAUUGAUAAUGAGUUUUUUAAUUAUUCAUUGGAUUUAAGGGUGAUGACCUCCACCUUAAUUUCAAUUAAGAAAAAAGAACACCUACUCUCCAAAGUUUGGGGAAAUAGUAACAAAAACCCCCAAGUUUUCAAUAAGGGACACCCAAAACUCCCUUUUUGACCAUAAUGUGCUUGGACUCUAUAAACUCAAAAAAUUGACCUCAAAAUUUUAUAAUAAAUAGAAAUAUGACAUUAAAAUAAAUGCAAUAAUAUAUUCAUUUUACAAAUAAUUUUAAUAUUUAAUUUUUUAUAUUUUACAAUCUAUUAGACGAAUUUAUUAUAUCAAAGUAAUAUUUAAUAAUAAAUAGAAACAUAAUAUUAAAAUAAAUAAAUAAAAAUUAAAAUUACUUUGAAUAUUAUGUAAAAUGGCCGUACAGCAAAAUUUUAAUAUUAUUUUAAAUGUUAAAAAUAAUUUAAUUUAUUAGUCCAUUAGAUAGAUUAUAUUAUUUAUAUUAAAUUUUUAUUAAUUAAAAACUUUAAAGUAUUUUUUUAAUCACUGUAUUCAAAGGGUACUAUAAUUAAAAAUGGGUUUUGGUGUUGUUUUUUGAAAAUUUGAGAGUUUUUGUGACCAUGUCUCCAUACUUUUAGAGUGCAAGUGUCCUUUUCCCUUUAAUUAAUUGAAAUUUACUAGUUAUAUGAAUAAUUGGUAACUGCCUUAUCGUUUUUGUCUUUUGAAAGAAAAUUAUUUCUUUAAUUUUUUGUAUUUUUUUUUUGAGGAUAUACUAAUUUUGUGAAGAUAAUUUAUAUAAAUUGAAAUAUAAUAUUAUUUAACUUAAAUUGUUUUUUCAUUUUUUUCUUGUACGUUUUCUUUUUAAUGUCAAUUAUAUGAAUACUUAAUAGAUUUUAUUUUUAGAUAUUAUAAUUUAAAAAUAGAACACUAAGUUAAUGCAUUUGAAAUAAAAUUAUGAAGAAUUGACAUAUGAGAAUAGGUUUAUGCAUGUAAUCUCUAAUACAAAUAUAAUAUUGCAGUAUAUUAGUAUAACUUAUUUUGUUUAUAUUUUAAUAGAAAAAAUUAAAAGAGUUGUGAUUUAUUAGAUUAAUAUAACCUUCUUUAAUUAGUAAAACAUCUCAAUCUAAUCUAUUUUAAUUGGCAAAAUUCUUUUUAUCGAAUAAAUUUUGAUAUUUUAUUUAAUUUUAAUUAACUAUAAUGAACCAUUGGUUCUCAUCCAAUGUUUACUUUUAUCCCGUUAUUGAUAUUGAUUUUACUUAGUUUUAAUUAACUACAGAGAACUAUUGGAUCUCAUCCAACAAUUAACUUUUAACCCAUUAUUGAUAUUGAAGUUUUAGCCCAACACUAUAGAAGGACCUUAGUAUUAACAUAUAUUAAUUUUGAAAUGCAUACUUGGAUUGAUGAUAAACAUUGUUUUAUGGAGAUGAUAAUCUUUAAUUUAUCUCCUAAAAGUGUGAAAAUAUCAAUUUAAUUAUACUCGUUUAUUAUUAAGAAGACAAAAAUGAAAUAUAAUUAACAUGCCUCUCAUUUUCUCUCAUCUUUUAAAUAAAAAUAAGGAUAAAUUGAAGUUUUCACACAUUUUUAAGUUAAAUUAAGAAUUGUCAUUCUAGUCGGACGACGUAAAAAUUCUUCUCCUCUAAUAAUUCUUCUUUUUCCAAAAAAAAUCCCGGAUAUUACAGCUCCUCUAAAUCAUGCAUAUAUUGCUCUAAUUCCCAAGACUGCUAAGCGUAUAAAGACUAAUAAAUUCUAACAUAUUAGCCUUUGUAAUGUUACCUAUAAACCAUAUCUAAUAGAUUAAAACAAAUUCUCCAUCAAAUUAUUUCCCCAACUCAAAGUCUAUUCAUAUCAAAUCGGCUAAUCACUAACAACAAUAUUAUUAGAUAUGAAUGUUUGCACGAAAUUAGAAUUAGCAAAGGGAAAGAAGAAUGGCUUUCGUAGUUAUAAAGCUUGACAUAAGCAAGGCUUAUGAUAGAGUUGUCUUUCUUGAAGCAAGCUAUGGAGAGGUUGGGCUUUUCGGAUAAAUGGGUGGCUUUGAUCAUGAACUGUGUUACUAAUCCCCACCUUCUCUGUUAUUAACUCAGGCUGGAAAAGGCCUUCGACAGGGAUUCCCCUACCCCUAUACCUGUUCAUUAUAUGUACAGAGGUGUUUCCAACUCUUUUGUUGCAGGGAGAAAGGCAAUGCCAGAUUCAUUGGUUGAGAUCUUCUAGAGACGUCACUAUUUCCCAUCUUCUUUUCGCUGUUGAUAGCCUUGUAUUCACAAGGGCUUUUACUGAAGUGUGCAAGCAUUUGAAGUCAAUCUAACCUUUUCCCCCCCUUACUGUGGCACCUUUUUUCUUCAUUGAGUGUGCAUAUAUAAAAGUUGCUGAGUAAAAAAUCUUCGUAAAUGGAGCUAAGAAAUAUACCCUUGCAUUCAUAUGUAAUAAUGCCAGUAAGAUGAUAAAGUCUUUAAUUGAACAGAGUCAAACACAAUAAUUUAUAACACCUCGUGGUGAUGAUGCAACGAGAAGUUGCGGAUCACAUCCCUUCUUAGGUCUUUGAUUUAUUUUCCACAGAAGAAGAUGGGAUUUUAUUUCACAUGUCAGCAGUAACUCGGACAAUGUCAGAGAAACAGAGACUGAAAAGGAACACGAGAUCAACGAGCCAUGGUUGAUCCCCAUACUAAGACUUGAUAGCUUCAUAUAAAUUAAUAAUCUUACUGCUUCUCGGCAUGCCUGUCAUAAAAGGCUUUCAUCCUCCCAAGGCCAUUUUCAAGAGCUGAAGGCUCAACGGCAAAAGUUAUGCGUAGCCAGUCUUUCAAACCCACAGUAAUCCCUGUUAUUUCCAGAAUCAAAGGGUUAGUUAGCAAAAAUCUCUUUAGCACUUGCUGUAAGCACAAUUAAGUUUAGAGUUUCUGUUAUUUUGUGACUUUCUUUCCAGGCCACAAAUCUCAUGUUUUAUUUGUUAUUAAACCAAAUACUGAAAAUGUCUGAAACUAGUGGGGGAUAAAUAAACACCAAUUUCCUCAUAAUAUCUAUUUUCAUGAAGCAACAAGCUUCGGAGGCAAAAAAUUUCGAAGGUGCAUAGAUAAAGAAAAGUAUUAUGCUGAUUGGUAAAUAUAGAUUUUAUGUAUCUUGCCUGGUAAAACAAUGACUGAUUCCUCUUUAGCCAGCUUGAGAGCAAAUUCCAUGUCGCUGUUAAUGCCUUCCAACAGUGAAUAGUUCAGUUUCACCUACAAAAGCAGUAAAUACUAUUCAGGACAUAAACAUUUAUCUUCGGAACCACAAUAGUACAAUCAUAUAUAUAUGAUGCUCUUAAGUCUUACCAUUACAAACAUGGACCCUUCUGGUUUCUUAGGGCAAGUUAUGCAAGGGAUCUCCUUAAGUCGAUCACAGCAUUUAUCUGCAGUCUCUCUUAGAAUGUCAAUGAUCUUAGAAAAGAAUUCCUCUUCAGUUUUCUCAAGGAUUUGAGGAACUGCUCCCUGAUGCAUAAAGCACAUUGUUAUAUUUUCAGAAGGAAAAUCAAGAAAAACAAGAUGUGAGAAGAACAAAAUGUGAGAAAAUCAAGAAAAACAAGAUGUGAAAUCUGAGUGCUUAUCGGUGCCAGUUGGUUCAACUAGAAAAUUCCCUUGGGUGGUACAAGAAGUCUGGGGUUCAAACUUCAAACCCUGCUCACAUGAGCGGAGAGGGGUAUCCAUUGAUGCAUUAUUUACAAAAAACGUAAAAAUAAAAGUCUAGAGUGCUUAAUUAUUUUUACCCGUCACACACACUAAGAAAUUAGUUGUCACUAUCUAAUUUAUGAACUUAUGAUUUACUGUGAUGGAAUUCAUUAGUACCGCUGCAUGACAUUUUCAAGAAACUCUUAACUUAAUGCAUGUCAUAAAAUAUGAGAAUUAAUUUAACAAAAAUAUAAAGUUGAGACUUAAGCGUGUGAAAGAUAAUUGUUACUCACUAUCUUAAUUAUUUAUGGCAAACUUUUAUAGAAGUUCAGGAUGAAUCUUUGUAACUCUAUUUCAAUAUAACCAUGUUCUUUGAUAAAAGCAUCAUAAACACAAACCUGAAUGAAUGUUGCAGGAUCAGAGGAGAUAUUGAGAAAGAUCUUAAUGGAAUCAACAAUCUGAGAAAGUACAAAACCAAAAAAGAUCAUGAUCAUUGUUGUAGGCUUACAACAGUAGUAUAGACGCUUUCACUUAAAAGAAGAUAAUCAUCCAUCCUCGUAUUGAGAGAGAUAGAGUGAAAGAAAGCUACCCCUGAGUCUUGAAGGAUGCCAUUGGGAUCACUUGUCACAAGCCAACCCAGCCGCAAGCCAGGAACUAUUCCUCUCUUUGAUAUGGAUCCAAGUGUAAGGAGAGGCACAAUUGACCCAAACACUCCCAUUGAUACAAAAGGAGUAUUCCCAAAUGCAAGAUGGCCAUAAACUUCAUUUGCAAUCACCAUGAUCCCAAGUUUUUUUGCUGUCUCUGCAAUCUAAUAUUCAAUGGAUUAACAAACACCAAUAUUCUUACAGAAGCUUUAGAGCCAUUAAUUUAUGGGUUUGAAAAUUUUAAAUAAUAAGGCUAAGUAUUGCAGUGUCAGUCAUUAAAUAAAAUAAGACUCAAUAGCCAUUAACAUUUUCGUUUCCCUUUUAAUUUCGUCCCAUUUUUUUCCUUUUUCUAACCUAAGAGUCCAAAUAUCAGUUUGCUCACCUUGUGUAAAUGUUGAUAAGUGCAGAAAAUAUGGAAAGAGUAGAUUAGUUGACAUUUCUGAUUUUUAGGAUUAGUUGUCUAAUCUAUUUGAUUUGUACAGUUAUUACUAAUUUGUAUAUUUUCAAAAAUUAGGAAGUUAAAUUAGGAAUGCGUAGUCCUAUAAAUUAUCCCAUUGUACUGGCUAUUAGAGGUACUUAAAAAAAUAAGAAAAGACUUUGUUCUUCUCCUCUGUUUACAUGGUAUCAAAGCUAUGGCAGAAUUAAGCCUGGCUUGACUCCCAUACGGAUUUGUUCAUUGUCUUGUUGUAAUGGCGCAAAACACCAUGCAUGGGGUUACAGUAACUUGUGAUACCAAUUUCACUGCUACAUCUACUAGAAUUGGUGUAGGGGAGUUUCUACCGUCGAGAUCUGGAAACUUGAACGGAAGUGAGAGUUUCCCAUGCAAUUAACCGGUCACAAAUUGAACGGCAAGAACUAUCUAGAAUGGGCGCAAUCCAUUUAGUUGGUGGUCGAUGGCAAGGGUAGACUUGGCUACAUCACCGGUGAGACGAAGGAGCCCGAAAAACCUGAUCCAACAUGGAAGACUUGGAAGUCAGAAAAUUCCCUAGUUAUGUCCUGGUUGAUCAAUUCCAUGGAGAUUUCAAUUGGGAGGAUGUAUUUGUUUCUUUCUACCGCAGAGGAUGUAUGGGAUGCGGUCUGAGAAACGUAUUAUGAUCUAAAAAAUUCAUCACAGAUUUUCGAAUUGAAAACAAGACUAUGGCAGACUAGGCAAGGUGAUCGUGCGGUUUCUGAGUAUUACAACAAGAUGAAGGCCUUAAGGAAGGAGCUCGAUUGGGCCUGUAUGACAGAUAGUGUUCGUUAUUUAAAACGAAUUGAAGAUGAUCGUGUUUAUGAAUUUUUGGUAGGUUUGAAUAAGAACCUUGAUGAAGUGCGAGGUCGGAUUCUUGGCAGAAUUCAUUUGCCAUCAAUUCGGGAAGUAUUUUCAAAAGUACAACGAGAGGAAGGUCGACGCAAAGUGAUGUUAAGAGAAAAAACUAUAUCCACUCCAGAAGUUUCAGCUCUAAUGACAGGGACUAAUCACAAUAAUUUCCCAUCCCAAGCAUGGCAUAACAAGAAAGGAGAAAAAGUGUGGUGUGAUCGCUGCCAUAAACCACGUCACAUUAGGGAGACUUGUUGGGAUUUACACGAAAAACCUCCUAAUUGGAAGCCAUGAAAUUUUAGUUAGUCAAACAGUGACUCAAAGGCCUUCCACUCAGCCAUUGAGGAGAAUGGAAACACUGCAACUACAGCUACGACACCUUCAUUCAGUAAGGAACAAUUAGAACAAAUGUAUAAACUUUUUCAGUCCACACAAGCGACUAAUCCAGUAUCUUCUUCUUGUUCCUUGGCCCAGAAAGGUAAUUAUCUUCAAUCUAUUAUCUUUAAUGUGUCCACUAUUCCUCUUUGUCCAUGGAUAAUAGAUUCAAGUGCCACCGAUCAUAUGACUGGAUGCUCUAAAUUAUUUUCUUUCUAUAGUCCUUGUGGAAAGGGUCAAUUGUUCUUCACGAUGUCCUUCAUGUUCCAAAUCUCUCUUGUAAUCUUUUUUCUGUAAGUAAAAUAACUCAUGAUUUAAAGUGUUGUGCUAAAUUUCUUCCAAAUUGUUGUGAAUUUCAGGAACUAGAAACAGGGAGGAUGAUUGGCAAUGCUAGAGAGUAUAGCGGUCUCUAUUACUUUGAUGAUGGGAACUUUAUGUGUCAGAAACAGAAAAUUUCAAAUCUCGGAGCAUGCUUUAGUUCUACUGAUUAUAAAAUAAUGCCGUGGCAUCGUAAGUUAGGCUAUCCUAGCUUUUUAUAUUUAAAACAUUUGUUUCCAAACUUAUUUCGUAAUAAACUUCUAUUGUCUUUUCAAUGCGAUAUUUGUCAGUUAGCUAAACACCAUCGUGCAUCUUUUCCUAUUCAACCAUAUAAAGCAUCCAAGCCUUUUACCCUUACUCAUAGUGAUGUGUGGGGUCCCUCUAGGAAAUUAACUAAUUUUGGAAAAAGAUGGCUUAUAACAUUUAUUGAUGAUCAUACUCGCCUAAGUUGGGUCUAUUAACUCAAAGAAAAAUCUGCAACAGAACAUAUUUUUUAAAACUUUUAUAAUAUGGUUGAAACACAAUUUCAAAUAAACAUUCAAUUGUUUCGAAGUGACAAUGAGAAGGAAUACUUUAAUUAAAUAUUGGGGUCAUUUUUCUUAGAAAAAGGAAUUGUUCUUCCCAACUCUUGUAAUGACACUCCUCAACAAAACGGGAUAGCAGAACGAAAAUGGGGGGGGGGGGGGAAGCAAUUCUUACUGCUACAUAUCUUAUUAAUAGGAUGCCAUAAAGAGUUUUGAACUUUAAGACACCAUUGAUAGUUUUUAAAAAAUCUUUCCAAUGACACGUUUGACUUUAGAUUUACCUUUAAAGAUCUUUGGAUGUGUUGUCUUUGUACAUAUGCACAAUUAUAAUAGGGAUAAUCUAGAUCCAAGAGCUAUAAAAUGUGUUUUUCUAGGCUAUUCUCCUACUCAAAAAAGGUAUAAAUGUUUUGAUCCUAACAAACAAAAAUAUUUUGUCACGAUGGAUGUUACAUUCUUUGAGUCUCAAAGUUUUUUUAAUCCUCCUCUUCAAGGGGGGAAAGGAAAUGAAGACUCGGUGUUUGAGCUUGACAUGAGUAAUAAUGGGAAGACAAAUAUUGAAACUGAAAUUUUUAAUCCUAAUACCUUGAAUAAAGAGGAUAGGAGGACUCCCUUAGUGCCUGAACAUAAAACUGGCACUAGGAUAAUAGACGUGACACGCUUCAAUAAUGAGAGAUUGUUCAGGAAAACUUACACUAGGGAGAAACAGAUUCAAAGUAAGAAAGACGCAGCGAUACUUCCUCAACACCAUGAAUCUGAUCCAAUCCCAAAUCCGAAAAACACUGAUUCUAAAAAUCCAGGUACGAUCUCUAAAGUUAUAGAGUCUGAGUCUUUAUUUAUCCCACAAGUACAUUUUGACCCUCUAGAUCUUCCCAUUGCUCUUAGGAAAGGAAUUAGAUCAUUUACUCAACAUCCCUUUCGAAUUUCUUGUCUUAUAAGAACCUGUCAUCAUCUUAUCAUACUUUUGUCUCACAAUUGUCAAGUGUGGAUAUACCUAAGUCUAUAUAAGAAGCGCUAAAGGUUCCUAAAUGGAAGGACGCUGUUCAUGAAGAAAUAGAGGAUCUAGAAAAAAAUGGAACGUGGGAGAUGGUUUAUUUGCUUGAAGGAAAAUUGAUUGUUGGUUGCAAGUGGAUUUUCACUGUGAAAUACAACUCAGAUGGAUCAUUAGAACGCUAUAAAGCAAGGUUAGUAGCAAAAGGAUUCACACAUACCUAUGGAGUUGAUUAUCAAGAGACAUUUGCUCCCAUAGCCAAACUAAAUACCAUUCGAAUACUAGUCUCUGUAACUAUUAAUUUGGAGUGGUCGUUGUUUCAAUUGGAUCUCAAAAAUGGAUUUCUCAAUGGAGAUUUGGAAGAAGAAGUAUAUAUGGGUGCGCCCCCUAGUUUUGAAGACAAGUUUGGAGGAAAGGUGUGUAAAUUGAAGAAAUCCCUUUAUGGACUGAAGCAGUCUCCUCGUGCUUGGUUCGAUAGAUUUACCAGGUUUGUUAGAAAAGAAGGAUAUAGUCAAGGACAAUCUGAUCAUACAAUGUUUGUGAAACACACAUAUGGUGGAAAGAUGGUUGUCCUGAUUGUAUACGUAGACGACAUAAUACUUACUAAGAGCGAUGGUGAUGAGAUGAGUAGCACUACUAGAAAAAUGGUCUUUACUAAUACUUAACUCGUGACACUUUUUUAAAAAGUAUCAGUAUUUACAUACAUAUGGACCAUUUUCCGUGUUUAACAUUUAAGUAUCACAAAUUACUGAUACGAUGGUGUCUGUAAGUUAGACAUUAGAGAUCUCUGACACCAAAGUCUCAGUUGAAAAAAUAUAAUAAUUCUAAUCUUGUUCCACAUACAACUCGAACCCAAGACUUCCAACAGUCAAGCUUUUAAAUUUAAGAAAAAAACCAUUGUAACUGUUUUUUAAGGUAUUAGCCAAAAAAACAUUUAUAUAAACACAAAAAACCAAUUAGAAAAAGAACUUGUAAGUAGAAAUGAAAUAACCCUAAUUUUCUAACUCUCAAAACACGAUCUCCUAUCUCACUGCCUUGCCCAAACUGCCGUCAUCUAGUCUUCGUGGUCGUCGCUUUGCCUCCCCUUGCGAUUGUCAUCUAGUCUUCAUGAUCAUUGUCUCUCAUUUGUCAUGGCAGUAUCGCCUCUUAUUUGUCGCAGUCAUUUCGCUUCGGCUCUUAUCGUUGCUCGUCAUCAUCGUCCAGGUGACCAUCAGCUGCUGUUCUUUUCAUUCAUAAUAAAGAUAAAAGAUAAGAAGCGAGGCAUGUGCAAUAGAUGGCUAUUUUCAGAUUAGAUUUGAAAAUUUUUUACAUGUGUUAUCUCUUUAUUUCGUGAAUUUUAGAAAAUGAGGGUAUUAGGUUGUAAUUUAAUUUUUUUAUAAAAAAAAACCAUUGUAACUGUUUUUUAAGGUAUUAGCCAAAAAAACAUUUAUAUAAACACAAAAAAACAAUUAGAAAAAGAACUUGUAAGUAGAAAUGAAAGAACCCUAAUUUUCUAACUCUCAAAACACGAUCUCCUAUCUCACUGCCUUGCCCAAACUGCCGUCAUCUAGUCUUCGCGGUCGUCGCUUUGCCUCCCUUUGCGAUCGUCAUCCAGUCUUCAUGAUCGUUGUCUCUCAUUCGUCAUGGCGGUAUCGCCUCUUAUUUGUCACGGUCAUUUCGCUUCGGCUCUCAUCGUUGCUCGUCAUCAUCAUCCAGGUGACCAUCAGCUGCUGUUCUUUUCAUUCAUAAUAAAGAUAAAAGAUAAGAAGCGAGGUAUGUGCGAUAGAUGGCUAUUUUCAAAUUAGAUUUGAAAAUUUUUGACAUGUGUUAUCUCUUUAUUUCGUGAAUUUUAGAAAAUGAUGGAAUCAGGUUGUAAUUUAAUUUUUUUUAUUAAAAAAAGAGUGAUUAAUUUCUUGAUUUUUAUAUUUUUAGAUCAGAUCUAUAGAAAAUUGAUUAAAUGAUUGAUGAAAGGACCAAAUAAAUUAGAAAACAAAAACCCUAAACUUUAUUUACAAGUGUGAAAUGCAUCUUUGAUGCUCAAUAAUUGAAAUUAAUCACUUUUUUUUGUAGGUAUCGUGAGUAUAAUAGAGACAAAGAAAGAAGGCGUAGACAUAGAUCGUGUUCCCAUUCAAGUGAUAGAUUGAUGAAUCGACCAAAAUCACUCUCUCCUUCCCGUGCUCUUUCCAAAAGGUAUAGAACAAAUUAAUUUAAAUGUGGUCAUUGAGGUGGUGAAACUGUGAAAGUUCCUUGUUAAUUAUUAUAUGGGGAAAGGCUUUACAUGUUCAACUUUUGAGAUAUGUUAUCUUCAUUAUGUGAACAGAUAAAAUUAGGAUAAGUAUGGCGUUUAUGUCUUUGUUCAUUAUUUUUUUUACCUUUUCUAUUUUAUCUGCAGCAAGCGGAGCAGUGGCUUUGAUAUGGCACCACUAGCUGCAGUCAUACUACCUGGUGUUGUUGUUCUAGAUGUAGUCAUUUUUUUCCAUUUUACUUCAUUCACCUAUAACUUUUAGUAUUGUUUGGGAAAGUUGUUCAUUUUAAUUUUUAUCUAAUGGAUUUCUAUGGAAACUGAGAACCAUUGUUGUGUUGUUUGGCUAUUGUGUGUGGUUAUUUUUCUUGUGUUUUGUGUCUAUCAGUUGGGUAAGAAGGCAACAUUGAACUACAUGUCCCACUGUGCUACCCAUGGGCGUGACUAGCUAACAUAAAUUUUAUCUCUAAUGGAGAACCUAUGCUUUGAUUGGUUGGAUCUCGUUAGCUUUCAACUGGCAACAAUUGUCAUUGGUAGACUUAUACAUAUUUCCCUAGCAUCUGCAGGGGAUGGAAUUCAUUUCUUUAUUUAUUUAUUGAGUAUUUAGGUAUGAAUUAGGCCUCUCUCUAUAGUAUUAUCACAAUGUAGUUCCAUGCUUGGAGAUUUGUGACUCUUAAGAUUUAGUAGCAAUGUGUGUGUAAAGUUAUCAGCCAUAUAACUCAUCCUUGUCCUUUACUUGCUUCCUUUCUUAUUACAAUACAGGGCAAUUGCAUCGUGUACCUUCAACAGUUCAAGAAAUGGUACAAAACAUGUAACCUUUUAGAGCAACAUAAGUUUACAUUUUUCACAAAUAGUUAUUUAGAAAUUAUUUCCUUUGAGUUAUCAAUUGCAUAUGUGUGCUGCUUGUUAACUAUUAUUUCUGCAUGUUUAUAUGCUUGAAGAUCUGUUUCUGUUAUUCAAAAUUCUUUGUGGGUAGCUAAAAGACUAGAAAGAUUGAAGAGAGACUAUUUGUGGGAAUGGUUCGAUGAUGUUAAUGGUUCUUACCUAGAUAAGUGGCCACUGUUACUUUGGCAAAAGAAAAGGGGGGGCGAGUGGUAAGGGUUAGGAAUUAGUAAUUUGGAUAAAACAAAUCAGGCUCUUUUGGCAAAAUGGUUGGAAAUUUCUUCUUGAGAAAGAUUAUCUAUGGCAAGAAGCAAUAAGAAACAAAGACUAGUUUUGAAGAAAAAAUGGCUAAUCACGAAAUAAAAAAUGGCUAUAUGCAGAUGUUAUCAAAAAGUUAAGGUUAAUGCUAUAUAAAAGCUUUUUAAUAGUAUUUUCUUUUUUUAUAGUCAAUUUUAUUACUAAAUGCAACUGUUGAUUGUGAUUGAUUUGUUUAUGUUUUACUCUAUUUUUAGAUAAAUGUUUGAGAAUCUCCUAAUCAUUAUUUAUUUCAUGACAUGAGAACUUGAUAGGAGGGCACUUUUAUGCUAUUUGUAUUUCAAAGGACGGGCUUUGAUUUUGAUCAGUUCAUUUGUUGACUUUCUGAACUUGGCUUCCUUUAUAAAAGGUAUGUAGUACCUUUUGUUAUUUUUUUUAUAUGUCAACUGUCACUCAUGUGCUCUUAUUAUUUCAUUUAUCAUCAUUAUAGUCAAUGUCUUAGAGAAGUGCAAUGUUGUCUAUUAUACAAAUUGAAUGUGCAAUAAGGUCUGCUAUAUUUUUGCCUUCUUGUUAACAAAGCUUUAAGAUUGAAUAGAUUAGAUUAAGGAAGUGAUUGUUGAUUAGUUUAUAACAGAGCAUUUGUGAUAGCUUUUAAUUAGCCAAUAAAGUCAAUUGGUAUAUGUAGAUAGAGCAACAUGCUUGUGUUGAAACUAAAUGUUAGAUUGAAUAUUUAUCCUUUGGAAAAAAAAUUUUUCUUUUUUGGUUAAUUGUUGUUUUUUAAUGCUUGUUAAUUAUUGUUGCGGUUGGAAAUUGGGAACCAUUUUCUUUAAUUUUCCUUGCAUUCCUUUGCAGACAUCGAUAAUGUGCUUAAAGAGUUUCUUCCUCAACUUUCCAUGUAUCUUAAUCUAUCUAGUCCGCUGAAUGAAGAUGUCGUUGGUGUGAUAAUGUACAAUCGCACUACAUAUGUUUAGGAGAGUGAAAGGCAAUAAUACUUCUCAAUUUAGCUUCCAGAUUUGUUAAAUUUAGCCCUUAAAUUCAGCUACAAAUAAAAAGAAUUUAAUUGGAUGAUAGAAAUUUUCAUGUAUAGAUUAUUCUAUUAUGAACAAAAUGUCUUGUUUAUUGAAGUCUUUAGAAUGUGUUAUAUGUACUAAUAAUAUUUGAAUAUAUAAUUAAAGAUUUUCAAUAUAAAUUGAGUUUGUUUUUGUUAUUUCGUACUACCUUUUAAUUUUAUCAACAAAUCAAUGGGUAACAUGUCAUUUUAUAUAUUUUUUUAAAUAGUAAAUCAAAUAUUGAUACCAUAGUAACAGUAAUCACAAACACUGAUAUAGUAUUAUAAUAUUCUGAUACUAUGGUGUCAUGAUUUUGGUAAUACUAUAGUAACAAUAAUUAUUGACACCACUUACAAGUAUCACUAUUUUUCUGACUGCCAGAUUACUGACACAAUUAACAAGUGUCACUGAAAGUAAUUAGUGACACUGUUCUAAUGUCAGUAAAGACCAUUUUUCUAGUAGUGUAGGCUGAAGAAACACCUGCAUCGGAAUUUGAAAUUAAGGAUUUGGGUCCCGUAUGCUAUUUCUUGGGUAUGGGAGUUGCAAGAUCUAGAAUGGGAAUUUCUGUGUCAAAAAGAAAGUAUGUUCUGAACUUGCUAGAGGAGACAGGAAUGAGUGGUUGCAGACCAAGUGAUACGCCCAUGGAUCCUAAUUAGAAGUUAGGAGAGGUUUCCGAUGGAGAAUGUCUUGUAGAGAAACUCAUUUAUUUAUCUCACACAAGACUUGAUAUUGCCUUUGCAGUUAGUGUUGUAAGUCAAUAUAUGCACUCACCUUAUGUGGAAAAUUUGGAGGCAGUUCACAAGAUUCUCAAGUAUUUAAAGAGUACACCUAGAAGAGGGUUAUUAUUUAAGAAGAGUGAUCAAAGGAGUGUAGAAGAUUUCAUAGAUGCAGACUGGGCAGGUUCAGUUUUAUAUAGAAGAUCAACAUAGGGUUACUAUACAUUCUUAUGGGGAAAUUUAAUUACUUGGUGAAGCAAAAAACAAAACGUGGUUGUUAAGAGUAGUAUUGAAGCUGAGUUUAGGGCCAUGACAAAUGGAGUUUGCGAGGUGUUAUAGAUUAAAAAAGUCCUUAGACAACUGAAAUUAGAUAUUGAAGCACCUAUGAGACUGUUCUGUGAUAAUAAAUCAGCAAUAAGCAUUGCAAAUAAUCUAGUUUUGCAUGAUCGUACGAAGUACAUUGAGAUUGAUAGGCAUUUUAUUAAAGAAAAGUUGGAGAAUGGAGUUAUUUGUAUGUUGUUCAUCCCUUCAGAGCAACAAACAGCAAAUGUUCUUACCAAGGGACACUUUAGGCCAAAGUUUGAAUCUUUCAUUAACAAGUUGGGCAUGAUUAAUAUCUAUGCACCAACUUGAGGGGGUGUAGAAAAUAUAGAAAGAUUAGAUUAGUUAACAUUCCUGAUUUCUAGGAUUAGUUAACUAUUACUAAUUUGUAUAUUUCCAAAAAUUAAGAAGUUAAAUUAGGAAUGUGUAAUACUAUAAAUUAACCAUAUUGUAUUGGUUGUUUUAGGUACUUGAAAAAUAAGAAAAGAUUUUAUUCUUUUCCUCUGUUUACAAUAAGUAUACACAUUUCCACAAGGAUUUCCAGGAUUUAUGAUAACCAAGGCCACAGUAUUCUCAUCCGCAAGAGCUUCCACUGCAUCGAGAUCAACCUCCCAUUCCCAACCUUUUUCUGGAAGAAGAUCAAAAUGGCAAACCUCAAGAUGGCUAUGUGUUGCACGAGCCUCAUAGUAUGGGAAGCCAGGUCUUGGAAGCAAAAUGUUGGCACCAGGCCGAGCUUGGAACUGUUAAUAUGACUUCAAUUGCCUAUGUGCAGCCAACUGUAAGAUAAACAGCAUCGGGUGAUAACUUGUAUGAGAGGUCACGAUUAAGAUAAUCUGCGAUAGCCCUGAAAUUCCACAAAAGUGAACAGGUUGUACAUUUUAGUCCACUUUCUGUUCCGAUAAUAGUGAGAUUAACCACCAAGAUUGCAGUUAUCUAUGAGAUAAUUCAAAAACCCCUUUGAUAUAAAUCUUUCCUUCUAAUAUGAAUCUUUUUACAUCUUCAAUGUUACAAAGUUGACAUUCUGGUUCCCCAUCUCAUUGUUCAGCAUUCAAAGAUAACUACAAAAUGCUCGACGUUUUACAAACUUUAAAUCACUUCACUUUUCCAGAAACUGACUCAAUCUCUAUUUAAUAUUAUUAUCUAAUAAUUGUGGCUUUUUUAAACUAUAACUCUAGUGUGUUUAGUAAACAAUUGAAAUUGUAGUUUGAAAGUUAAGGUGACUUACUCCCACAUUUAUUUGAUAAAAAAUUUAGUAUUAUAUUUGUCAUAGUCAUUAUUUAGAAAUCAUAUU